rnacentral:lncRNA from 1 species
ACAUGAAAAAAUACCGUGCACAUGGAUCCCGUGGGAUGUUAAUUUCCUUCUUUUCUAUAUUCCAGCCUAUACUGUCUUCAUAGUAGCGUUCUUCCUAACAUUGGGCCUCCUUAAACCUUUUCCCCAUGGUUUCAGGACUGCCCUUCAAGUACUACUUGCAUUUCUUGCUAUAUCUUUCGAGGAAGCAGUAUGUUUAACAGUACCAACGCCAUUAGCAUUUCGAGUUAUGAGUAUGUUUUCAGUGGUGCUUUUUAUUUUAAUGAUGUUCAUGUGUAUUGCUUAUCGGGUAUCAAAACUUAGCGUUUUUAAUUUUAGGAUGUUGGUUAUCCCCUAGUGUGUUUAACACAUUAUACCAAGGAACCUUUAACUUUAAUUACGUUUGGAUUAUAGUUGUUACAAUGUCAGUAUCCAUGGUUUUACUUGGAUUGUUUCCACUGUGGAUGGAUUAGGACGAUGUGAACGUCCGUUGACAUGGCCACCCCUCAGGAUAUAUGGAUGUUUUUGGUUGUAAAGUUUGCUCAAGUUGUUGUUUUGUGUGUUUUUUACGUAAGGAGAGCACUACGUGUUCUGUUUUUGGUUGUAUGUUGUUUCCAAUUUUAUAUAUCUAUUUGUUCUACCAAUAAAUUCAAUUCCUCUUAUUUAAACCCUUCUCUUCAUUUCACUUUAUCUUUUGUUCUAUUUUCUUUUGCUUAUAAUUUGUGUUGAUGUAUUAUUAUUAUUAUGAAAUUAAUACUCUUAUCUCAAAUUAAUUGACUCGUACAUCAAUUAAAAAAAAUUGACUUUAAUAUUUAUUGUAAAUUAUUUUAUAUUUGGUGUUGAUAAAUUAUAUAAUUUUUAACAUUAAGUAUUUGAUUUAUUAAUUGAUGUAUAAAUUAGAGAUACGCAAGAUUCAAUUUCUUUCGCUAAAGCAUAUUAUUGCUUAAUUACGAAAAAAUAAUCUUUGCGAUGAGAAUUUCUAUGACCUUUUGGGUUAAAUCAAAUAUGACAAUGUUUGCUUAGCUGUAUGGAUAAAAUCAACAUGCACGCUUAGUUAUGGCUCAUCCCCUAUGGCCAUCCAUGGCAUCCUUUGGCUAAUUACUUUCAUUUUCAUCAAGAAAUAAAAACGUUAACUUCGAAUGCUUGUUUCACAAUUGGGUUCACAUCUUGCGCAGGCUUGGACUAAUAGGCUAAUCUAAGCUUUUUUUUUUUUCCCGCUGAAUGGCCGGAUUUAAUUUAACUCGAUAAUUGCAUAAGUUGACAUUAAAAACAUAUCACUUACUAUUAUUACGCUAUUAUUAUUUAAUAAUAACUUUAUAAUUAUGUAAAAUUUAUCAAAUAUUAUAUAAAGUUUAUAUUUAAAUAAUAGAUUUUUACAUGAUUUUUCCUUAUAAUUAAAAUAUUUAAUAUUAGAGAAAAAGUCUCAUUAACGACGCACUAAGCCUAAGCAUUACUCAAAUGCGUAAAGACAAGCACGUUUAUGAUAAAAAUUUUCACUUUUCUACUUUGUCCUUUGUAUCUCUUGAUCCCUUGAAGACGAGAGACAGCGAGAGGGAAGAAUGCAAGAAGAAGAAAAUUUAUCUUAAUCCUUAUCAAUUGGUUUUUCUACUAUACUUUUAUUGUUAAGUAAAUUUUGAUAAGUUGAGUUCUGAUGAUUGAAUAUGAUAUACCAGCUUUCAAUAUUUUAAAACCAGUAAGGUAGAGACAGCGAGAGUUAUCCUUUUAGUGAAUACUACUUUGUCUUCCCGAUAACUACUUCUGUUUAUGCCUUAUCUGUUUUGCACAUAGCUGCGCGCAAUAAUCAACCCAAGGUCCGAUCUCUUCCCCUCUUAAUUAAUUUUACUUUUACCAAAAAAGAAUGGAUUAAUUCUUUAAUUUGGGAUUGUAUUUCACGGUCAAUUGAUUGUGGCUUUUGUUUAUGUCUCAAACUGCUAUUAAAAUGCAAGGCUGAUAAGCGUGCGACCAAUCAAGCUGGUUCAACGACACUGGCUGUUGCAAACGAACUUAAUAACAUAGACAGCAUUAAUAUUCUGCAUGGUUGGCGAAGUGCAAGAGUUCUAAACUUUGAACAUAAAAUUCAGAAGCAAAUGGUCAAGCACGUGACAAAGGCAUCAGAAGUAAUUUUCCAAGGUGUGGACAGUAUAUCAAGUGAGGAUCGCAAUGCCUUACUAGUAAUUUUAGGAGUGCUUCUAACAGCGACCUACCAAGCCAGUAUUAGCCCGCCUGUUAGUGUUUGGCAAGGUGAUGGCUCCUCUAACUCCAAUUCCACUGUAGGACAUCAUGGAAAAUUACCAGGCAAAUCGGUCAUGGAUCAAGCUAAUUUCCCUUUUUUCUAUAUUCCAGCCUAUACUGUCUUCAUAGUAGCGUUUUUCUUAACAUUGGGCCUCCUUAAACCUUUCCCCCAUGGUUUCAGGACUUCUCUUCAAGUGCUACUUGCAUUUCUUGCUAUAUCUUUCGACGGAUCAAUAACUUCAUAGUGCCAACUAAUUUAGCACUUUUAGUUGUGUGUUUGUUUUCAACGUUGGUUUUUGUUUUAAUGAUGGUCAUGUGUGUUGCUUACCGGGUACAAAAAAUUAGCGUUUUAUUUUUAGGAUGCUGGUUAGUGCCUGGUCUGUAUGGCCCAUUUCAGACAGGAUCCUAUUUAAUUAUAGGUUGCUGGUUAUUUUUUAAUCUACAUGAUCUAUUCUGGAUACGUUCCACUUUAAUUGUAGGAUGCAUUUAGUACUACAACGGUUUCAUUACCUCUGGAUGGUAGUUGCUGUAGUUUCAGUACCCAUGGUAUUACUUGCUUUGUUUCUAUUGUGGAUAGAAGUAGUGCGAUGAGAACGUGGGUUAACACUGAAUGAAGCUCUAAAGAUGGCGUUAUCUCUAUUUGUUGUACCUUCAAUAAAUUCAAUUCCUUUUACAUAAACUCUUCUCCACAUUUUACUUUAUCAUUUCAUCUACUUUGUUUUGCUUAUAAUUUGUUCUGAUCUAUUAUUAUGAAAUUAAUACUCCUUCUAUCUCAAUUUGAAAAUUCACAUUUGACUGGCACAAAAUAUUGACUAUAAAUUAUUUUAUGCAUAUUAUUGAUAAACUAUAUAAUUUUUUAUUUCAAAAAGAAAAUAUAAAUAUAUAUAUAUAAUAAAAAUUAAUAUGAAACAAAAAAAAAAGUAAGAGCUAUAACUUAUAGAUGCUCAAGAUUCAAUUUCUUUCGCAAAAUCACACUAUUCCUUAAUUACAGAAGAAGAAAAAAAAGUAAAAUACUCAAACACCUCUAAGUUUUAAUUAAAAUUACCUUUCAAAAAAAAAGUUUUAACCAAAAUUAAAUGGAGGUCUAUUAAUUUGAGAAAUAGACACUCUAUCUUAAAAGAAUAUCUAUUGCUGGACACAUAAAUUCAAUUGUUAGCCAAGCUUUAAGAUUUCGAUUAGUUUGCUGACGUGAUAAUAUCUUUGAGACAACUUUAUCCUCGAAUAUGUCAAAAGUUACAAUACUAUAUAAACUUUUAUUUUUUAUUUUUUAUUUUUUUCUUAAAAAAAACUACCUACCUUCUCUAGCCAGAUCCAAUCGGAAUAUCGCACUCCUUCAAGAGAAUGCUAAGGUCGCGCUCCCUUCUGAGGGAACUGUUGUGCUCCAUCAAGGGAAUUGUCGUGCUCCCUCAAGGAAGCGCCAGAGCUCCCCUCUGGGUGCAAUUUUGAGCUCCAGAUCGCGUCAAAUCUAGCACUCCUCGAUGUUGAGGAAUGCAAAAUCUAGCCACAAGGUAGUCGACUGGCUAGUCAAAUUGUCUAAAAAAUGAAAAUUUGACAGAAAGAGGAAAGAGUAUUUUAGUUUUAUUAAUUUUUUUGUUAAUGGUGUUAAGAUUUUUGGGUGUAAGUGUCUAUUUUCUAAAUUAAUAAACUUACAUGUAAUUUUGAUCAAAACUUAACGGUGUAUGGGUAUUUUACCAAAAAAAAAAAAUCAGUGUGCAUGGGAGAAUUUCUAUGACCUUUAGGUUAAAUCAAAUAUGACAAUGUUUGCUUAGCUGCAUGGAUAAGGAAGGUUAACACGAGUUCAGGAGAGCUUACCGUCUCAGUGUUAUCUUAAAAGGGAUGGAAACAUACACAUCCUCUAGCAAUAUCGGCCUUUGCAUAGAUAGAUGUUUUCAACAUAAAAUGUUGAGUUGAAUUUGAUAAUGUUCAUUGAAUUGAAAUGUUCAUCUUCUUCCCCAGUUCCUGUCUCCAUCUAUCACAUUCUUUUGCUAAAUAUUUUCAUUCUCAUCAAGAAAUAAAAACGUUAAGAACUUCAAAUGCUUGUUUGUGAUUUUGGGUUCACAUCUAGCUUAGGCUUGGACUAAUAGGUCGGCUCAAGCUUUGCUCUUCUUUUUUGGCUGAAUGGCCCAAUCAAAUCUAGCUCGAAAUGCUCAGUAAGAUGUUUCAAACACCCAUCUGUAGUACAAGCCAUAUCUAAGUUACUAACACUUAUACAUAUACACCCAUCACAAUCCUGAUCAAUUGAUUGUUCUACCACAGCUUUACUGUUAGCUUACAGUUUUUUUCUUAGCCAUCAUUUUAUUAAUGUUUUCAAUAACGAACAUUCGAGAUAAGAAGACAGAGCCAGAGCAAAACAGAGCAACAAUAAUACAAACGUCAAGGCCUACCACCCACGUCGAGCCUUUUCUCUUUUUGUUUUUGUUUUUAAUCUUUUCUUGUUGAUUGUAAUUGACUGACUAAACAAGUUUCCAAUAAGUUAAGGUCCAUCCAUUAAAAAAGUUUAAAAAGUUGAGGUCCAGGACAUCCAAAAUGAAAAUUUAAUAUUAUUACAUUUAGAACCGGAUUAAAUUAAAUAUUAAGUAUUUGAAAGAUUUGGAGAAAUAAUUGAAUGAGAGAAAAUUUUAUAAUAAUUCUCCCUAAAUAGAAAAUCCCAAUAAAUGAAAUCAGAAUCAUGACAUAUUAUUAGAUAAAUCAUUAUUUAUCACUGUUAGUUAUAAAUUAGACAAAUUAAAAUGUAACACAUAAAAGUGAUCCCUUGAAGAUGGGAGGCACUGGGAGGGAAGAAUGUAAGAAGAAGAAAAUUUAUCCUAAUCCUUAUCAGUUAAUUUUUGUACCAUACUUUUAUUGUUAACAAUUACAUAUUAUAAUAGUAUUAAGUAAUUUUUAACGAGUUGAGGUCCAGGGCAAUCAACGGGACGUGUUGAAUAUUAUAUAGCCACUGGUGCUAUCCAGCAUUCCUAGGAUAUUUUCUCUCAUUCAUGCCGGUAGCUCCUGUUGUUUUCGUUUUUAUGAGCUCUCUCUGCAACCAAGAAAUGGUUGGCUGUUCUGGUUGUCUUCAAGUUUCAGCUUCUGGUUUGGCUGUUUUGCUGUGACUGUCUUCAUAUCCGAUGUUACUUAUGUUUUCUCAAUUUAUAGCUCCGCCAUUGUAUGUGGAUAUUAUUCUCAGCAUCUUGGUGAUUGUUAGUGUUUAUCCAGCAUCUUUGAUUGUUAUUCUCUAAGUUGUUCUACCAGCUUGUUGUCAUGUUGAUUUUUUCUGGUCCUAUUACCUUGUGCUGAUGCUUCUGUCAUUUGAGUAUCUGAACUAUUUUUUGGAUCAGCCUAUUGCUGAUUCCUCGCCGCUUCAUCCAGCUUGUUAAUAAAAUCCACAUCUUUUUUGGCUGACAAAAAAAAAAAUUAGAGACAGCCAGAGUUGUCAUCUUAGUGUAUAGUACUUUGUUUCCACGAAAACUAAUUUUGUUGCUGCGUUUUCUGUUUUUUCAACUUUCCUGAUUGACUUUCAUUGACCGACUUAAUAGUAUCGAGCUUUUAUAUCGUGGAAAUUGCCCAAAAAACAACAAAGAUAACACUUAGAGAAAUCAAACAAAUAAAAAAAUACAAACAUUUACAUGGUUUGGCCUCUUGCCUACGUCCACGAAAUGAAACUGUUUUUUUUAUUAUUGAGAAAUUAAAGUACAAUAAAUUGACCUCUAUGGUUCCCCAAACCAACUCAAGAUCUUUUGCACACUCUUUCUCAAUAACCUCCCAAGAACAUUUACCAAACCACUCUAGCUACACUUAGAGCAAAAGGCAAAGUUACAAGGUGUCCCCUCUCUAGAGUUUUCAAAACACUACUUGCAAUUCUAAAGCCUAGAGAUCUACUUUUAUAGUAUAAAAAUCCAAAGUAGAAUAUGAUUCGGACUCGAUGUGGAAUAAGAAGUUUAAAACUAUACAACUACUUAAUAUUAUAAACAAACAAGAAUCCCAAUCAAAUAAAAUCUAUAAUUCUAGUCAACCUAAAACUCAGCAAAUCUCCACCUUUGACUUGAAUUCAAACUCCUUAAACCUCUUCCACCAGUCACACCUAAUUGAAACUUCCUAUUGCACCUACUUUCCAACACUUUGAACAACUCUCCAAACAUAAGACUUUCCAAAUCAUUGGCCUUUAUAAUUACCACGACUACACAUACUGAAUCAAGCAUGGUCCAACACUCGAUUCUACAAAACGGCCAAUGCACUUGUGUAGCUGUCAAGUCAAUGGCACUAAUUGACUUUGGAAAGGGACCUUGACGACCCUUCCAAUUCAUUACUGACAAGAUUUUUCUUUCUUUCACCAUCGUCUACACCAUGGGAACCUUCCAUCACCUCCUCGGCAAAUGAAAUCUCACUUUGGUAGCUAUCAUCUCUUAUGCAUUGUUCCCAUCCUUUCGAGGCCUCACAUUCUAGACGAUACAAGCCAUUAUGCAAAUUCCCUCUCAUCAGGACCAUGUCGCCUUGUGUGACUUUUACCACUCCAUCACAAGCUUAAUAUUCAUUCCCUUUGGAGUCUAACAGGCUCAAUGAUAUUAGAUUUUUACACAUCUUUGGGACAUUAGCCACACCACCCAAAGAGCGCACAACCCCAUCAAACAUUUUGAUUUUCACCACUCCAAGACCCAUGACCUUCACUAUUGACUUAUUACCCAAAGUCAAAUUCCCAACCACCCCUUCUUAAAGUAAAUCAAAACAAUCUUUUUGAUAACAUAUGUGAGUGACAGAAGCAGAAUCUAAAUACCAAUAAGAAUUUGUAUUCAUAUUUUUUGAAAUUGUAAGGACAUCACAAUCAUCACCUUUAGUAACGAAAGCACACUCACCUUUGUUCUCGUUACUUUCAUCCCCUUUUGUAGGACAAUCCCUUUUAAUUUGUCCAUACCUUUGCAUUGAAAGCACUGAACAUUGUUGGAUCUAGACUUGCCACCCUUAGAUCUCAUACCGGUUGACUUCCUCUUACGAACCUCAAUUACCAAUGCCAAGCCACUUGGAUCUCUAUCCCAUUCCUUACUUUUCUUUUGGGCUUCACGAGACAUUAACAUUGCUUGUGCUUGAUCUAACGUUAUUGUAUCCAUCCCACAUAUCAGAGAUUCCACAAAUACCUCAUAGGAAUCUAGAAGCGAAGCUAGGAACAAUAGUGCAUUUUCCUCUUAUUGCACCUUCACAUCAGCCUUCUUCAACUGAUCAAUGAUCCCAUUGAAAUCAUUCAUAUGCUUCAUGAGGUCUCCAUUCUCCUCCAUCUUUAAGUGAUACAACUUUCACCUAAGCUGCAACUUGUUGGAAAGACUUUUCGUCAAGUAAAUGUUCUCUAACUUUACCCACAAUCUUGGAGCAUAAUCCUCAUCAAUAACAUGGUUAAACACGUUAUCUCCAAUGCAAAGUUGAAUACUGCUCACACACCUUUGCUCUAACUUUGCCCAUUCAACUUCCUUCAUGUUAUCUGGUUGCCCUUCCUCCUUUCCUAGCAAGGGGUGCAUUAACCCUUGCUGCACAAAGAGAUCUUUCAUCCUUCUCUGCCACUACGUGAAACUAGUCUUCCCAUCAAACUUCUCAAUUGACAAAUUCAUAGAACUAGUGACUUUCGACAUCCUUGUUGAAUCUUUAAUUUACCAAACCCGAAGCUCUGAUACCAGUUUGUUGUGGAAAUUUCCCAAGAAACAACAAAGAUAACACCCAAAAAAAUCAAGCAAAUAGAAAAACACAAGAAUUUACGUAGUUCAGCCUUUUACCUACGUCCACGAAGUGAAACUAUUCUUUCUAUUAUUGAGAAAUUAAAGUACAAUAAAUUGACCUCUAUGGUUCCCCAAACCAACCCAAGAUCCCUUGCAUACUCUUUCUCAAUAACCUCCCAAGAACACUCACCCAAACCACUCUAACUCUACCUAGAGCAAAAGAUAGAGUUACAAGGUGUCUCCUCUCUAGAGCUUUCAAAGCACUAUUUGCAAUUCUAAAGCCUAGAGAUCUACUUUUAUAGUAUAAAAGUCCAAAUUAGAAUGUGAUUAGAACUCGACGUGAAAUAAGAAGUUUAAAACCAUAUAACUACUUAAUAUUAUACACAAACAAGAAUCCUAAUCAAAUAAGAUCUAGAAUUCUAGUCAACCUAAAACUUAACAUUUUACUUGUAAGUAAGUCGAGGUUUUCUUUACUCUUUUAAUCAAUUACCUAUAAAUUUAUCAUUAUUAUAAGCCUUUUCAUCUCACUAUGUUAACUAGAUGGAGGGGAGCUCCUCAACUAUUUCUUUUUCAAAUGAAACCAUUCAGGAUUUCCUUCAUGCCCUCUUAAUUACCCUUUUAAUUGCUAUAUAAAGUGGCCUAAUCCUUUUUCUAUUUUCUGCAUGUCAUUGUCAGUUGGCUCCCCUAAUAUGGAUGAAUGCUUGAGGAAGGCUACUCAAAAAGGAGAUAUUGUUGAAAUAUAUGCAUCAAUCCAAAGAGAUGGAGAUAUUUUCAGGCACAUUGGUGAGAUGGAGUUCGUUGACACUCCAUUACACAUAGCUGCACCUUGAGGGUGGAUUGAUUUUGCAAUGGAGAUAAUGAUCUUUAAGCCGUCAUUCGCUAAGAAGCUAAACCCAGAAGGUUUUACUCCCAUUCACCUUGCAGUGGAAAAUGGGCAUGAAGAGCUGGCACUACAUCCCAUUCACCUUUGCACUGUGCAAUAACUAGAGAACAAAAUCUUGAACUGUUGGCUAGAUUUUUAGAAGCUUGUCUUGAAUGUUUUCGAGAUAUGACAACUACAAAGCAGACUACUUUGCACAUUGCAACGAGAAACAAUAGAUUGGAAGCUCUUCAACUUCUAUGUCGGAUGCUUAGGAAAAGUGACUACUGUCAAGAUGUGGUGAACCAAAAAGACAGGAAUGGUGACACGGCCUUACACAUAGCUGUGCACAAUAAUCAACCCCAGGUCCGAUCUCAUCCCUUCAAACUAAUUUUACUUUUAGUAAAAAAGGAAUGGAUUCUUUAUUUUGGAAUGGUAUUGAUGGUCAAUGAAUUAUGGCUUUUAUUUAUGUCUCGAUAAAACAGAUGCUCAAACUACUACUAAAAUGCAAGGCUAAUUAGUUUGCGACCAAUCAGGCUGGUUCAACGGCAUUGACUGUUGCACAUGAACGUAAUAACACAAAGAGCAUUAAUAUUCUGCGUGGUUGGCGAAGUGCAAGCUUUUUCAACUUUCAACGUACGAAUUGUACACAAAUGUAUGUGACAAAGGCAUUAAAAGUAAUUUUUGAGGGUAUGGAUAGUAUAUCAAGUGAGGACCGCAAUGCCUUACUAGUACUUUUAAGAUUGCUUCUAACAGCUACCUACCAAGCUAGUAUUAGCCCUCUUGGUAGUGUUUGGCAAGGUGAUUCUUCCUCAAACUCCACUUCCACUCAAGUAUAUGAUGAACAAGUACCGAGCAAAUCGGUCAUGACUGAAACUUAAUUUCUUUUUUUCUAUAUUCCAGCCAAUACCGUCUUUAUAGUAACGUUUUUUCUAACAUUGGGCCUCCUUAAACCUUUUCCCUAUGGUUUCAGGACUGCCCUUCAAGUACUACUUGCAUUUCUUGCUAUAUCCUUCGACGAAUCAGUAUCUUUUAUAGAGCCAACUUAUUUAUCACUUUUAGUUAUCCAUACAUUUUCAGUGCUAAUUUUUAUUUUAAUGAUGCUCAUGUGUGUUGCUUAUCGGGUAUCAAAAAUUAGUGUUUUAAUUCUAGGAUGUUGGUUAAUGCUGGUUAAUGCUUGAUCUGUAUCAUUCAGUUUGGUUUAGACCCUUUUUAAUUCUAGAGUUUUGGUUAAUGCUUGGUCUAUGUGAUCCAUUAUGGAUAGGAUUCAUUUUCGUUGUAGGAUGUGUUUUAGCAAUAUUGAGGACUUUAACAUCCACAUAAUUGUUAUAGUUCCUGUAUCCUCAUUAGUACUAACUCUGUUUCUACACUAGAUAAAAGUAGUACAAUGAGAACGUUGGUCGACAUACCACCCCUCAAGAUAUAUUGUCGAUCCCUUUGGUUGUCUCUUUGUUAGUUUGUUUCUUGAGGAUUUCUACUGAAGAGUGGAGUGGUAAGAAGGGAGGGUUUUUUUUUUUUUCGUGGCGGUUGCGUUUUGUCUUUCUGUCUCUGAGGGUUGGGUUGUGGGCAAGGGUGGUCUCCUUCAAAGGCUUGGAAAGAUGAGAGUGGAUCAGCAGGGGUGGGGAGUUGAGGGUGUUAGAAAAAUUAGCAACAAAGGAAAAUAAAACAAGUAAAAACAGUAAUUGGUCUGGGGCGUGGUAUCACUGUCCUUAAGGAUAAUUUUCGCCUCUUCGGAGUAUAAAACUCUAUGCAAAAGGACUGUAGCGAUUAUCCUCCAAGAUUCAACAGACCCUUUCUUAUAGUUUGCACAAACUAUUAAGGGAUGACAGGAAUAGCAGAAAAGUUGAAACCCAACUAGAAAAUAAAGGAGGCAAAGAAAGCUUAAGGGAAGAAAGGAGGCAGAGGAAAUUAGUCGAGAAAGCUUAAGAAAAGAAAAGCUUUGGUGUGUGUUGUGAGUGAUAGUGUGAGGCUGUAUUUAUAAAAACCUGGUCAGCAUUUAACUAAGUCAGAUAAACGUUGGAGCAAAACCAGGAUAAACGUUGAGCAAAACUAGGAGAACCAAGUAAGCAUGAUAGAGUUUGAGUUUCAUUUAAUCAAAGGCUGAAAAAGCUUAAAAAAAUUAAAGUCAAGGAACAAAAAGUCACUUGAGCUCAGCCCAUGUGUAUAUUAGCGAGCAUGGGGGGAAUUUGAAAUUUCUAAAGGUUUGGCCCAAUCUUGUGUUUGAGCGAGCCCACUCCGUUUUCCUUACUUGCAACAAGCCCAUAGUUGGUUUUCAUAUAUAAAGUAUUCACAUUUUAUGUAUCUUGGCAAUAUGAGAUGUUUGAACCUUAUGAAAUACAUUAUUUUCCAACAGAGGGUUUUCUUCGGUUUUCUUUCUUUGUGCUCCUCUUCUGUGAUCGGGCACCUCAUUUCUUGUGCUGGGGUGCUUUGGUGGGAUGAAGCUGCUUGGUGAGUCCUUGUGCAAUGCUCUCUCUCCAAGGAUCAAAGGUGGUUCCUGGCGCGUGCUGUGCUGCAAUGAUCCGUUCCAAGAGUUGCUGCAGCCCAGUCUCCUCCUUGAUGGAUUGUCAUUUCCCUUGCGAGUCUGUUUGUUGGCAAUCCUUCAAAGGGGAAUGUUUGCUGGAUUCUGUUGGCUGCUCACAUUGUUGGAGUGGGGCCGCUGCUUUCGUCUUCAAGAAGGUGCGCACGUCUGGCCUGGAUCAAUUCAGGAUGUCUAGGGUCCUUUUGCUGUCUCUCUUUCCUUCGGUUGUUUCUACGCUGGCUACCGUGGUAUUUGCUGUCUUAAACGUCCCAAUGUCUUACUCUUUUGGGUGAUCUUGUCCGUUAGGUCCUUACUUCUUUCCUACCAGUUUCAGCUUACGGUUGGCUUGAGUUCUUGUAUAAGCUAUUGUUCUUGUUUUAACGCUGCCAUUCUUCUUGUGCAGUUGAACUAUGUAUUUUCUUGUUUUCCCUUUGCCAAGCCGAUUUUCAUGCCAAGGGAGUCUAAGGCAAUCUCAGCUGGAGACUUUCUUUGAUAUAUCGAUAGUAUGACCAAUAAAAUCUAUUUUUCAAAGAAAAAAAAAAACGUUGAACGAAGCUCUAAAGAUGGCUGCUACUGCGUCUAGAUAUUUCCUAUUUACGAUUUUGUAUCUUUAUUUGCUGUAUGACAAUGUACCACCCAAAAAUUCAAUUUCUUCCAAUGCAAAAUCAUCUCUACUUUUCUCUUUAUCUUUUAUUCUACUAAUUUAUUUUACUUAUAAUUUGUGUUGAUAAAAAAUUAAAAAAUAAUUAUUAUAAUUUUAGCAUAUAGUGUAAAUUAUUUUAUAAAUAGUUUUUUCCUUUUUUUUUUUUGUCAAAAUAAGCUGCAUAGUCUUAAGUUCAAAAAAGUAAAUUUAUAUUAACCCUCUUGUAUUUUUUGUGUUCUGAACUUAUAACACAUUAACCCUAUUGACAACCAUUGGGCUAACAGCAUUUCUCCUCCCAGGUGCUUCUAUUGCUUUGCUAUUGCUCGUGCCACUUUCAUUUUUGUGUUCAAGCUACAUGCUCUCCAUGAGCAUCUUAUCCCCGACUCCUCUUUGGUCCAAAUGGAAUACAUUUCAAUCAAUAGUCUUUAUUAUGUUGCUGGUAUUGCAGUUUCCUUUGCGGUGCUUAAGUCGAAGAAAUUGAUGUGUUGUUAGUGUGAUAGGAGCUGACAAGUUUAAUAUAUAUGCCUCACCAUGUGGAAUAUCUAAAUAUAGCUUUUCCUCUUGCUUUUUUGUUUUCUCUUUUCUGUGUGUUUUGUCUUUAGCUGCAUGGAUAAAACCUAAAUCAAUGCUCAAGCAUUGGAAUUAAAAUAAAAGAAUCUGACGAAAUUUAUCUUAAUCCUGAUCAAUUGAUUUUUCUACCAUAGUUUUAUUGUUAGCUUGCAGUUUUUUUUCUCAGCCAUCAUUUUAUUGAUGUGUUCAACGAUGAACAUCUGAGAUACGAAGACAGAGCAAUAAUAAUACAAACAGUAAGCCCUAGCACCCGACGUCACGCCUAAAUUUAUGUUUAUUAAAAUCACCUUUACGCGACAGGCAACACAACACUUCCUAUCACCAAACCAAAUUAUAGUAGGAAAAUCAGUCAUAGCAUAAAACAAUCCCUUAGCCUCAUCAAAGCAGAAAGACAAUAUGACUUCAUCCAGUAUAGAAUUGCUUCUCUAAUUUGUGUCGAACACUCGUCUGCCUAUCAGAAUACUCCCUUCCUGAACAGCAAGCACUUAUAUUCGUAAGAUAGUUCGUUCAGUGUUAACUUCUUAAAAGAUAUUAAAUAGAAAAAACCCAAUAAAAUAGAAGUUUAACUUAAAUCGAUUUGCUAGAACGACUUCUAAUGUUUCUGUGAUAUUUAAGAAUCCAAUGAAUCGCAAUCAUUGAAUCCAAUUCAACAAUUAAUUAACGACCUCUUUCCCAACACCAUGAUGAGUGAUGAAAAAUUUUAAAAACCAUCUCUCCCUUUCUUGACUUACAUUGAUUUUUUAUUCUUAUGAGCCAACCAUAAGUUUUGAAUAUUACAUAGCCACAAGUGCUAUCCUCCCUUAAAUAUAUUUUAAACCAGAUUAAGUAGUGAGAGAGAGAGUUGUCAUCAUAGUGGUCCAAAGAAGACUGUUUUCUUUAUAAAAAAAAUCUAUCCCGGAUUUUACCUUUUUUGACUUUAAUUGACUGACUAAACAUGAUUUUAAUAACUUGACGUCCAUUCUUUAGAAAAAAAAAAAAUAGAGGCGAGUGGUUGCAGCCCUUAAAAUUUUAAAAUAUUUUAUAUAUUAUAUAUUUAAAACAUUAAUUCAUAUCAUUAUUAUGAGAAUGCGUUAAGAAAAACAUUAAGACACUUUUUGAAUUGUGCUAAAGAUUAGUAAAAAUAAAAAAGUCAAGAAAUUAUUACUUAAUUAAUAGAUUAAUUCAUCUUGUUUUUAUUCUUCCGGUUUCUACAAUAAUUAUAGAGAAAGUCUUUUUAGUAAUGAAAAUUGUGAAAAUAAAACUCUGAAAUAAAGUAAAUGAUGAGUUUCUUAUAGAUAGUUUAAUUAUUUGUAUUGAAAAAGAUAUUGUUAACCUUUUUAAUACAGAAUUAAUAAUUGAUAAAUUUAAAUACAAAAAACAUCAUCGGGUACAACUUUUUUAAAAGACUAUUAUAAGUCUUUCUUUAUAUAUUACUUUUGAUUUUCAUGCUACAUAAAAUUAUAAAAUUAUUAGAUAUUAUGAAUCUUUUGAUUGUUAGUUAAAUUUAACAUAUUAAUUUUAAAAAUUUUUAGUCUUUAUUUCUCUUUAUUUCAACCUCCCAAUAAAAGUUAACUAACUCUGCCCUUGGCAGCGUCCAAAUAAAAAUUUUAAUAUUAUUAUAGGUAGAAGGAUGCCUAGUUGUACAUAAUUUUAAAACUCCAUUAAAUUAAACAUAAGUCAUUGAAAGAUUCAAAAAGAGAGAUUAUUUGCAUUUUAUUGUACUAUUGGUUCCAAGUAGUUGGAUAUAACAAUUGUCAUGCAUAUUAAUGAAAAGUAUGAACUUAUGUAGAAGUUGACAUAGCAACUUAUAAGUACAUGUUAUAUUAUGAUAUAUAAGAUUAUGAUCAACAUGGUAAGAAACCUGUAUCUAAUAAAUUGAGGUCGAGUGCUAAAGUAUUUUAUCCAAUUUUUGACUCUCAAACGUCCUCUUAACAACACUAUCUAGUUAAAAUCUGAGAAGAAAAUUGUUAAUUUCCCUUUGAGAAAACGUCCUCUUAACAAAAUCCGAUUUUUUCUUGUUUCAUUAGCUCAGGUCGGAGAAGAAAAUUGCAAUUGAACUUUGUGAAGCAGUUCCCCUUUGAGAUAGUAUAUUUUCUUCUUUUUUACAAGCCAGAUGUCACUAGAAAUUUUUAACAAAUAACUAAAGACUUUGGAUAACAUAGUGGCUUAGUGCUAAUAAAAUCAUCUUUCAAAAGAAAAAAAAACUAGGAAAAGAGCUUUUGCUUUUGCAUUAGUUAAAAAGCACUUUCCCGAUAUUUCUUAAAAGAGCUAUCAACAAUUGAUUCAAUAUUAAAUAUAUGUAUUUUUAUUAAAAAAGUUGAGCUAGAAUUCACAAUUUUUUAAAUUAAAUAAAGAUUAUUUGAGAAAAGAAAUGCAAAAAAAAUUUUUUAUGACGUGAUAAUGCUAAUCUCAAUUUUUUUUGUGUUAUGUUAACGCCUAAAUAUAUUUUAAUAAAUAAUUAUCAUGAAAAGUUGAGGAUAUUUUAAAGAAAGAACUGUAUCUUUGCUUACUCAAAUAAUGUUUUACAUUAUGCUUACUCGUUAUUUGACUCUAACAACAACUAGACUCAAUUAAAAUCACUUCUUACUCUAUCAUUUCUCAUUUUAGAGUUAUGUCUUUCAAUUUUUUUAUAUCUAAUUAGAAGCUUCCUCAUUUUAGUGUUUUGGAUUUGUUGAAGAGAGAGUUGUCAUCUUUAGUGGUCUAAAUUAUUGAAGAUUUUAUAAUAAAUAGAACUGUUUUUUCCACAAAAACUCCUUUAUUCUGCCUUUUCUGCUUUUUAAUCUUUCCUGGUUCAUUAAAAUUGAUUGACUAAACAGCACCGAGGUUUUUCCUUGUAAGUUCGUCAAGGUACUCCUGUGCAGGGCACCCUCUCUUUACUCGUUCAAUUAAUUGCUGCGAGUGGCCUUAAGUACUAGAUAUUUUCUCUGUUUUAACUACACUCUAAUUAGCCUAAGCCCUUACAAUUACCUAUCAUUUAAUUCCGGAUUUGUAGCCUAAUCCUUUUUCUGUUUUCUGCUUGUCAUUGUACUUUCGCCCUCUUGAUAUGGAUGAAACUUUGAGGAGGGCUGCUCAAGAAGGAGAUAUUGUUGAAUUAUAUGCAUCCAUCCAAAGAGAUGGCGUUGUUUUGAGGCACAUUGAUGAGAUGCAGUUCGUUGACACUCCAUGACACAUAGCUGCAGCGCAAGGGAGCAUUGAUUUUGCAAUGGAGAUAAUGAUGUUAAUGCCAUCAUUCGCUAGGAAGCUGAACCAAGAAGGCUUUAGUCCCAUUCACCUUGCGGUGGAAAAGGGGCAUAAAGAGCUGGCCCUACGUCUCAUACAAAAUGAUAAAAAUCUUGUCCGUGUAAAAGGGAGAAAGGGUGAGACUCCUUUACACUAUGUAAAAACUACAGAACAAAACCUUGACCUCUUGGACGGAUUUCUGGAGGCUUGUCCUGAAUGCAUCCGAGAUAUGACAACCGCAAACCAGACUGCUUUGCACAUUGCAACGGAAAACAAUAGAUUGGGAGCUCUUUACCUCCUAUGUCGGAUGCUUAGGAAGAGUGACGAUUUUCAGGAUGUGGUGAACCUGAAAGACAGCAAUGGCGACACUGCCAUGCACAUAGCCGCACGCAAAAAUCAACCCCAGGUUCAACCUCAUCCCUCUAACUAAUUUUACUUUUAGUGAAAAAGGAAUGGAUUCUUUAUUUUGGGAUUGUAUUUGAUGGUCAAUUAAUUAUCAUUUUAAUUUAUGUCUCAAUCAAACAGAUUCUCAAAUUGCUAUUAAAAUGCAAGGCUGAUAAGUUUGCGACAAAUCAAGUUGGUUUGACGGUGCUGGCUGUUGCAGACGAACUUGAUAACAAAGAGAGCAAAAGUAUUCUUCCUGGUUGGCUAGGUGCAAGAGCUUCAAGCUUUCAAUAUGUAAUUCGGAAACAAAUGGUCAAGCAUGUGACAAAGGCAUCAAAAGUAAUUUUUCAAGGUAUGGACAGUAUAUCCAGCGAGGAUCGCAACACCUUACUAGUAAUUUUAGGAACGCUUCUAACAGCUACCUUCCAAGCCAGUAUUAACCCGCCUCGCAGUGUUUUGCAAGAUGAUGGCUCCCCAAACUCCAAGUCCACUGUAAAUGAAGGACGUGGCAGAUUGGUCAUGGAAGAAGUUAAAUUUCUUAUUUUCUAUAUUCCAGCCUAUACUAUCUUCAUAGUAUCGUUUUUCCUAACGUUGGGCCUCCUUAAACCUUUUCCCCGUGGUUUUAAGACUGCGCUUCAAGUAUUACUUGCAUUUCUUGCUAUAUGCUUCGACCAAUCAAUAUCUUUCAUAGCGCCAACUGAUUUAACAUAUAAAGUUAUCAGAAUAUUUUCAGUGUUGGAUUUUAUUUCAAUGAUGUUCAUGUGUAUUGGUUACCGAGUAUCAAGAAUUAGUGUUUUAAUUCUAGGAUGCUGGUUAUUCCCUGGUGUUACUCCAUUGCAGAGAGGAGCCUUUCCAAUUUUAGGGUGCUGGUUAUUCCUCGGUCUAUAUGAUCCAUUCUGGAUAGGAUCCAUUUUUAUUUUAGGAUGCAUUUCAGUAUUGUAUGAGUUUUAUUACAUAUAGAUUGUACUUGUUAUAGUUCGAACAUUCUUGUUAUCAGUUGGUAUGUUUCUAUUCUGUUUUGAGCAGUACUGUAUAUUUAAUUAUAUAGUUUCUUUUUCUUUUUCUUUUCAUGCAGUGAGUACAAGUAAUUGAGGAUAAUAAAAUCACUUUAAAAAAAAAUAGUUUUAUUGAAGAUUCAAAUUGUGAUACCCCACAUCCUAUAUCAGAUAUGAAUGUAAAUGUUAAGAUUUAUAUAACAAUCCAAGUUCAUCACUACUAAUAACUUGAGCUUGAGCUUUUAAGGACCAUGUGGUUUAGUAUCGAAAAGCUGUUAAACCAGUUGUUGGACUUAGAUUGUUACAAAUGGUAUUAGAGCCUGCAUCAGUCCGAUGUGAGUUUUCAUAUUACUUUGGUGAGAUCUUGGUCCCGUGAAUGUGAUGUGUGGCUUUAAUAUCUCUUGAGCCAUUUAGGAACAAAUCAGAUUUUUUUUCUUCUCACCAUGGGCCAUAUCUCAUGUCCUGGAAGUGGAAAGUGAUUCUUCCAAUGCCAUCAGCUAGACUAAAGACCACAACAAGGUCCAUGGCGCUUGAAAACUAUCUCCAAUGCCAUUGAAGCUCUUCUCGUAGCUGCAUUGGAAUUCCGUUGAAAUAUAUCCUACGUGAAGCCAACGCAGUGGCAGACGGAUUGGCCAAAGUGGGUGUGACAAGGACCAAUAGUUUUAGUGCUUACUUCAGGAGCUUACACAGGGAUGAAGCUACUGACCACCCCUUACCCUGAGCUUUUCUGUUACUGGUGUGCUAAGCAUUUUACUUAAGUCGAUGUAGUUGAUUGCCUUAAGUCUUGAUAGUUUCUCGACUUUGUGCUAAUCUACUAACCAAUGGUCCUUACUAUAACCAAAUUACAGUAGGAAAAUAAGUCAUAGCAGCAAACCAACCCCUUACCCUCGUCAAAGUUGAAAGAAAAUAUGACUUAGAUCCAGAACAGAAUUCCUUCUCUGUUUCAUGUCGAAUAUUCGUCUGUCUAUCAGAAUACUCCCUUCUUGAGCAGUAAGCACUCCUUAUACAGACCUUAUGAAAAUUUUUUUUAAAUUUUCUUGAAAAUCAAAUAAAAAUAAAGAAAAAAAAGAUGAAAAGAGUGUUAGUUUAAUUGGAUUAAAUCUAUGCAAUUAAAAAUAAGGGUAAAAUACAUAGACUCUCUCAAUUUUUAGUCAUAAUUCCACAUGAGUCUGUUAGUUUUUAAAAUAAAUACUCUAUACUAAAUGUGUAAAUAGUAUUAAUGCUUAAACGCAAAAUAUAUAAAACACCCUACUUUGUUGUCACUCUUUCUUUCUUUCAGGUUGACCGGUGACACUUCCUUACCUCGGCCGGCCAUCAGAUCAGUGCCCCUUGAAGAGCACCAUGAUUGGUGGUCCUUAGGAGCAUCGAAUUGACCAGCGUGGUCGGUUGGUGAAAAUAGGAUAGAGUUUUUCUAAAAAAAAAAUUAUAAUUUAGUAAUUUUGAAAAUUAAUGAAAGGUAAAAUUGUUCUUUCAAUAUUGACAUGUCAUUAAUUUAACGGAGUUGACUAACGACUAGAUUUAUAUGUCCAACAGAAAUAUUCUUUUGAGACAAAAUAUUCUUUUGAGACAAAAUAUUCAUUUUGAAAACAAAUAAACCCGCAUGAAAUUAUAACUAAAAGUUGAGAGAUUCGUGUAUUUUACCCUAAAAUAAUCAUGAAAAUCAUGUGUUAUCUAUUACACAAUAUAUAUACUUUAUUUGUAAUUGAAAUCGUCUCUUUUAAGUAUUUAACUUUCCAAAUGUAACCUUAAAAGAACAUAGUUAGAAAUUAGGCAAGCAAAACAAAUAUAUUUUGCAAUUUAUUAAAUGAAAACAUAAUUAUACUACUAUAUAUAAGCAAAAUAACAUAAGCUUAAAAACUUAUCCAUGAUGUCAUGUCCCACGUCAUCAUGGAUGGUCAUUCUCUUGCUUCAUUAACUCCAUUGAAUCUGCCAAUGGUAACUGAUUUAGUCAAUGAGGUGUUUUCUUUUUCCAGAUUUUCACUCACGUGUCUUCUUUUGUUCUAUCAACUUCUUUGGUAAUGUUAUUAAUUUCAUGGUAAUGAUUCUCUCUUUUCCUAAUGUUAAAUGAAGCAGACUUAUAUAUCAGUCAUAAUUUUACUUAUAUUUUUAUGUAAAUUAAUCACAAAUAAUUUCAAAUCACAAAAAAUACGUGGUUCAACUGCCAUUGAAAAAUGACAAGGUCGAAGUUUUCAGUGUCCUGGUGGGAUGGCUUCAGAGGAACCUUCAUAGAGAUGCUGAAUACUGGGAAAAAGAAAUCGUCAAUUGGAGGGACAGUGAAGACGAAUUUGUGUUGCACAUUGCCGCAAAAGGAAGCUAACGUCAGGUACUCUGUGUGUGUCUGUAUAUAUAUAUAUAUAUUCAAUCACACAAAAUAAAUAUAACCUUAAAGAACAUAGUUAGAAAUUUGGCAAGCUAGCAAAAUAAAUAUAUUUGUAAUUUAUUAAAUGGAAACAUAAUACUACUAAUAUAUAUACAAAAUAACAUAAGCUUAAAAACUUAUCCAUGAUGUCAUGUCCCUCAUCAUCAUCUGUGGUCAUUCUAUUGCUUCAUUAACUCCAUUGACUCUGCCAAGGGUACGUAAGUUAGUCAAUGUGGAAUUUUCUUUUUUCAGAUAUUCACUCACGUCUUUUCUUCAAUUCUAUCAACUUCUUUGUUAACGUUAUUAAUUUCAUGAUAAUGAUUGUCUCUUUUCCUAAUGUUAAAUGGAGCAGACUUAUAUAAUUUAGCUAUAUAAGUGUAAGAUAAAGUUAGACAUUAACUUUAUUAUAUCCAUAAUGUUAUUGGCAUUAUUCCCUUUUGCACACCAAGUGAUAAGGGUGAAAUAAAUAAAAAAUAAUGUCAAUUGAAAAGUUCACUUUUAAAUUAAUUUUACUGAUUCUUUGAAUUCCAUCUAAACUUCAUUUUCACACCAACAGUUUGGUGUCCCCCAUUAGAAUCCCCGCCACUCAAAAAUGCGCUCCAUAUAAUCUCAGAAUAGUGACAUGAGAUUAAAAUAUGAACACAGUCCUCAUUCAAAUCACACCAUGAACAUAAGUCAUUAUCAUUUUCAAAGUAAAUAUCAGUAGCUCACAAGAAGCUUGUGGCUGCAAUGGAAUUUAGGAGAGCUAACCAUUAAAGAAAUUGAAUAUUUGAGAGGAUAACGUAUUUUCAAAUAGAUAAAUCAUACUUUCUUGUCUCCAUAGUUGACUGACUUCCUAACUACUCAUGAAUUUAAUGUUGAUGUUGACGAAAGUGCUAAGCAGAUCUAGAAACUCCAUGAAGCAGUUCGAGAGAAGAUUAUUCUUCAAACUGCUAGAUACCAAAAGCAAGCCAACAAGCACAAAAAGUUAGCUAAUUUUGAGGAAGGAGAUUUUGUGUGGAUUCACUUAAGGAAAGAACGUUUUCCGAAGUGUCGUGCCAAAUUAUCUCUUCAAGCUGAUAGACCAUUUUAAGUUUUAAAAUGUAUUAAUGAGAAUGCUUACAAGAUUUGAGCUUCUUGGAGAUUAUAAAGUUUAUUCUACCUUCAGUAUUGCUGAUAUCUCUCCUUACUAUGGAAAACACAAAGAAGAUAGAUUUUGAAAGUGAUUUUUCUCCAAUUUAGGGAGAAUGAUAAAGGAGUAUGUUAUUAUCAUAUUAUUAUCCAGGUCUCACAUAGGAGUUAUAGGAUAAAUAAGAGUUUUAGUUUAUUUAAGAAUUGUAGGAUAAAAUAAAAAUCCCACAUAAGAAAAUAAGAAAGUUCUCUUUCUUAGGAAUAGUUAUAUAAAGCCUUAAUUGUUACGCAUAUUGAAGUUAAGAAUAGAUAAAAAAUAUUUUCUUGAAUAAGUAGUGCUUAUUUUCUCUAUAUCGAUUAAGAGGUUCUAAUAUCUUUAGUUUGGCUUGGGAGUUUACAAUUGUUCUCUAUAUUGCUUAUUUUCCCUAUAUUUUCUCUAUAUUGAUUAAAUAAGAAUUGAUUACAAUUGUUCACUUAUUAUGUUUCACUUUAAUGGCAUUUUUAAAAGUGAAAAUUUGACUAUUUUUUACCUUAAUGGGGUUUUCAAAGUUCAUUGGUGUUCACUUAAUGAAUUAUGGUUAUUUGAUAUCAAUUCUUACAGAGGCGGAGCUAGUCAAUUUUUAUUAAGGGGGCCAAAGACAAAGAGAAAUAAAAGGCUAAAAAAUUUUAAAAUUAAUACGUUGAACUUUAGUAUUAACGAUCAAAAAAUUCAUAAUAGACAAUAAUUUUAUAUAAAAUGUAAAUUAAAAGAAAUAAAAAAAAACUUAUAAUAGUCCUCUAGCAAAGUUUUGUUUAACGAUGACAAUGUCCUCCGCAUUAUAAACAACUAACUUAUUUGUAAGAAACUCAUUAUCCAUUUUGUUCUAGAGUCUUAUCUUUCUCAAUAUAAACAAUUAAAAAAUUAAUGCAGUCAACAUCUAAUAAAUUAAUAUAAACAUUUAAAAAUAUAAACAAUUAAAAAGUUAUGCACAUAAAAUGGAUCUCCUUAUUAUAGGAGUUCUUCAAAUACUUUCUUAUGAUCUUGUAACUUGGAGGUACGGUUUAUGUCCCCCUCCUCUGUACUUCUUAUUUAGUAUUUAAUAAAAUUUAACAGGGUAGCUGGGCCCUGCGUGAAUUUUCAGCAUAAAAAAAAAACAUAUAAUAUUCUUAUUUUAUUUCUAUUUAACCUUAAAUUAUUAAAUAUUAAACUAUAAUGCAUAAAAUAUAAUAGUUAAAUACGCUAUACAUAAUUAAUAAUUUUCUCUUAUAUAAUCAAGAUUGUUUAAAGACUAAAUACUCAAGAUAAUUUCCUUUCAACUUAAUAUAAAAUGUAAAACACAUUAAAAAGAUAUACGAUCAAGAUAAUUUCUUCUUAUAUAAUUAAAAUUAAUAAAAUAUUAUAUAUUAGUGAAAUUUUAAGCAACAACCAAUUAUGCAAAGCUAGAACUUAUAUUUGAGAAUCACAUAAUAAUUUUUUAAUUUUCAAAGACUAAAAUCAUUGAAAAUAAUAUCUACAUAACAAAAAAAAUGAAGAACAUAACAAGUAGAAAAUAAAACUUACAUAACGAAAAUGAAAAAAAGAAGAAUAUGGUUGAUAGUUCGUUGAAAAUUGAAAAAGAAAAUCUAUAGAAACUCAGAAUAUAUGAGCAAAUAGAAUAAAUUGAAAAAAAUAAAAAUAAAUAAUAAUAAUAGAAAAAGAAAAAAAAAUUUCCUUCAUUGUAAUUUCAUAAUGAAAAGACAAAAAAAAAGAGAGAGGGAAAAAGGUGUGGAGAAACUUAAAGAGUAAAAUUGAAUAAGGAUUGUAGGAUCAUUUUAUUAUCUUUUAUUUGUGUUAAUUAUUUAAUAAAAAUUAUUUUAAAGAAGUCAUUAAAAAAUAUAUAAUAUAUAAAAUUUUUAAAAAUUUUGGGGGACCAUAGGAAAGGGACGCUCAACUUUAUAACAUGAACACAGUCCUCACUCAAAAAGUUUGUGGCUGCAAUGCAGUUUAGGAGAGCUAACCAUAAAUUUUGGAGAGGAUAACGUAUUUCCAAAUGGAUAACCAUACCAUUUUUGUCUCCAUAGUUGACUGACUUCCCAAGGCAGUUGUCGCGUUCUCUACAGAAAAUGUUGUUUUCGCAUAAAGACAUGAGCUUCAACCUCAAAGGUCGAAAAAACCUCUCAGUUUCAGAUGGAGAGAGCACAAUUUACGAGUCAUUAUUUUCUUAUAAUAUAUCUUAUAUGUUAUAAUUUAUGUAGUAAUUGACAGCUCAACCAAACGUAAAUAGGAACAUGGAAAAAGUAGUUUGACGGGUGCAUGCAGGGAUAUAACAGGUAUGACUUGCCCCAAAAACGAAUCACUUCGAUCAGCGUGGACCCAAGGUUGAGGGAGGCAGCUCGAACCGGAAAUACAUGUUCCUAUAAGCAAAAUAUAAUUUAUUAAAUAAAAACAUAAUUAGACUUCUAUAUAUAAGUAAAAUAACAUAAGCUUAAAAACUUAUCCAUGAUGUCAUGUCCCUCAUCAUCAUCGAUGGUCAUUCUCUUGCUUCGCUAACUCCAUUGAAUCUGCCAACGGUACCUAAGUUAGUCAAUGUGAAAUUUUCAUUUUCCAGAUUUUCACUCACUGUCUUUUUUUCUCAAUUUUAUCAAUUUUAUCAAUUUUAUCAAUUUAUCAAUUUUAUCAAUUUUAAUUUUAAUUUGGAGGAUACCUACUUCUUUCUCAACCACAGAAAAUAAGUACUACUACAAGUAGACUAAACCCUUCCAAUUGUUUUCCUGUGAUUAUUAUUAAAUCUUAUCGAUGGAUGAAAGGUUGAGAAGUGCAGCACAAUCAGAAAAUUAUUAAAUCUUAAAAAGUAUUGUUAUGUAAAUUUUUUAUUGCACUUUUUUCAACUUGAACCGUCAUUGUUAAUGUACGCAACUUUUAUAGUUGUAUUUUUUUUCAAAAUAUUAUCAAACAUUUGUAUGAUACAAUUAAAUCUAUAGAAAGAGUACUAGAUGUGUAAAAAGAGUAUAAUUAAAAAGAUUUGUAACAAUACUAUUGGAAAAAAUAUAGCCAAAGGUCAAAAUAGAGGUGGCAAUUGUGUAAUAGGGUCAGGUCAAUUCCGGUCGAAGAAAUUUUUGUUCUUUUUGGUUUCUGGUCAUUGCAAAUCAAAUCAGGUAAUUAGGGUUUGACACUUGAAUUAUUAGAUUUGGAUUGUAUGUGUUCUGGUUAUUUUUAAUUUAAGGGUUGACUUUUUAAGUCAAAUGAAAUUGGAUUUAGAUGAAUUGUUUUCAAUUUAAAUGUUGGCCUUUUAAGUCGCAUGGAUUUAGAUUUAAACGAAUUGUUUGAAUUUGAAUGAUUUCGAGUUGGUUAUUUGGGUUGUUUGGGUUCAAGUAGUUUUGAGUUCAGAUCAAUUCAAAUUCAAAUUGUUUUGAAUUCAAGUCCUUUUCAACUUUGGAUCAUGCAAGUUCAGAUUGUUGAUUUUUUUUUUUGGUCAAAAUCAAUUUUAUCGAGUUUGGGUUUGAGUUCAAGAUUAGCUAUGCCAAUUUUAGUCAAAAUUAUUUGUAGUGCAAGGAAAUAUAUAUUUUUUUGGGCAAAUUUAAGGAAAGAAAUUUGAAAUAAAUACAUUGGCUCCUCUUAAGUUUGAUGAAAAUAGUGCAUUAAAUGUAAAAACAUAUUCUAAAGUAAAAUUUUGAAUUAUCUUAUUUUUUUAAUGAAGUCAGUUUUAUUGACCUCUUCAACCAGCAUGCCAUUGUAAGUCUCUAACCAAAGCGGAGAAGACUUGCUAUGGCAUAAAUUUUUCAUGGUUAAUUUGGGCAAAAUAUAACCUGUGCAAUUACAAAAUGAUCCUACCACUCAAAAAACAAUAUCGGCAUGUACCCACAGAUUUAUCAAACCCGCUAUCAUAAUCAAAGCUCAACUAAAUCCAAGUACCUAACAUUUGCCCUUAAUCUCUUCAAGAUAAAUUGUAAUCGAUGCCUAUUUAACAAUUCCACCAGAUCAAAGUUUCCACUGGCCCUUGUAGCGAGGGCUUUUCACCUAACCCCUUUAUAUCUUUUAGUUUAGAAUUUUACAAUUUACAAAUUUAAUUAUUUAUAGAUAUUAUUAAUAUUUACAAUUUACAAGGGUUCUGAUACCCCGAGGAAUAGUUUAGUAAGAACAAUUUAUUUUUUUCCUUAAAAAAAAUUGAAGUAGAAGAAGAAAAAGUUUGGUAACAACGACUUCCUGCCUCUUACCAACCUUGUUGCUGUCUUGAUUUAGGACCAAGAAGUCUUCUUGCUAGUUGUCGUAUAUAUAGGAACAAGCCAUUACCAUUUCCUUCAUAUCCUUUCCACUCUAACUGCAAUAUAUUGAUGAUCGAUUCCUGCUUCUAACUAAUUAUUUCCAUUCUCCACGAUAUGGAUCCAAGGUUGAGGGAGGCUGCUCAAACAGGAGAUUUUAACUACUUCUACUCACUAAUUGAGGAAAACGCAAGCGUUUUGAACGACAUUGAUACAGAGUCUUUUGCUGAGACUCCAUUACAUGUAGCGGCUUCUGCAGGGCAAAUUGCUUUUGCCGUAGAGAUGAUGAAUUUAAAGCCGUCGUUUGCAAGGACGCUGAACCAAGCUGGGUUUAGCCCCAUUCACUUAGCUUUACAAAACAAAAAAACCCUUUUUGUACAUCGACUCCUAGAGAUGGAUAAAGAUCUCGUUCGAGUCAAAGGGAGGGAGGGUAAGACUCCUUUUCAUUACGCUGCUGAACUAGGAGAGCCGGAAGAACUUUUGAACGAUUUUCUUGAAGCUUGCCCCGAAUGCAUUGAAGAUGUAACUGUUCAUGGUGAAACUGCUCUGCACAUCGCGUUAAAAUGUAACAAGCUUAAAGAGUUUAAAUCCUUGGUGCGAUGGAUACGAGGAAGCUGUCAUAAAGAUGCCAAACUGUGGGAAGAACGAAUCCUCAACUGGAAGGACGAGCAAGGCAACACUGUUCUGCACAUUGCAGCCUUGGAAAACCAACCAGAGGUUUGCUUUUCCAUUUAUCAGACUCCCAAUUGACUUGUAAUCAAAUUAAAAAACUAACUAGUUAUUAGUACAUCUUCUAUGAUUUGCACAGGCAGUAAGACUGCUGGUAAAGUGUCGUGACGUAGUUGAUGUGAACGCCAAGAAUUCGGAAAAUUUGACAGCACUGGAAUAUAUCUCAAAAUGCGAUGAAAACGAUGAAAGCACUGAAAACCAAAGGCCAGUGCCAAAUAGAUCAGAGAUUACUAAAAUCUUGCGAGCUGCUACACCUCGAAUGCAUCCCUUCAUGGCAAUCCUCGAUUUCGACGAGGAGUUAAUGUUACCUUAUGUUAAAAGGGUAAUCACACAUAUUGCUCGGAGAAGGGAGAACAUUUCAAAUGGCAUGCGCAACGCAUUGCUGGUAGUCAUUACGCUGGUUAUAACAGCCACUUACCAAUCCUCUUUAAGUCCACCUGGUGGUGUUUGGCAGGGAGAUAACAGUAAUACUUCAUCUAAAUCAAACUAUGCUAGCAUAAAUACCAGUAAUAGUAGCACCCUUGCCGGAGAACCGCAUGGUCCGGGGACAACCGUAAUGCAAAAAAAUACUUUUGUUGUGUUCUGGACUUACAACACAUUAACCCUAUUGACAACCCUUGGGCUAACAGCAUUUCUCCUCCCAGGUGGUUCUAUUGCUUUACUACUGCUCGUGCCACUUUCACUUUUGUGCUCGAGCUACAUGCUCUCCAUGAGCAUCUUAUCCCCGACUCCUUUUUGGUCAAAAGUGAAUACAAUUCUGUCAAUAGUCUUUAUUAUGUUGCUGUUAUUGCCGUAUCCUAGAUUGUUUAACGAGAGACGGCGAGCCCAAAUGAAGAGUGAAUUAUCUCCACGUGCGGUGCUAAAGUCGAAGAAAUUUUAUAUCAAAAUAUUCUUUUUUUUGGUUGCUGCAUUGUGCUUUACUGUAAUCAUGCUGCAAAAUUGGUUACAUUCGUAGAUUAGAAGUAUUUAGGACCCCAACCCUUUCUGAAGUCUAAUCUUAGCGUUGUGUUGUUUCUUAUCUAUUUAAUAAAAGAAGUUGGUAUUGUAAUUCUUGACUCUUCUAAAUACUAUAAAUGCAAGUGUCUUUGGCCUUUUUGAUGUUUGUUGUUUUUUGAUGCGUUCUCUCCUGCCGUCUUUUGGUUAGGGCAGGCUUGCUUUUUCGUUUUAAAUGUUUGCGGCUGUGAUAACUGCCACUUCUUUUUUGUGCAGUUAAACUUUUAUGUAUCAUGAUUUGUUAUCUCGAUUUUCAUGUCAAUGGGAAUCUUAGGUAAUUUCAACUUGAAAUUAAUAUUGGCAUAUGGGAUGUAUGACUAAUAAAAUUCCCUUAAAAAGAAAAGUUGGUUUUGAGAAUUAAAGUUUUCUUCUUGAGUGUAGCAUUUUUUAUUUGCCCAAAGUCUUUACUCGUAAAACCGUGGGGCAGGCUGAAACCCCAAAAGUCCACUGAAAACAUUUUUGGGGUUGAAAAUGGGACCCUUUUCUCCAGCAAACUUUACUAUUAUACCAACCCACCUAGCAAGGCUAUUACUCUAUUUAAUUUAGUGUAUUAAUUGAGUACAAAUUUGUACUCUUUCAUGUAUUGACAAAACCUUAAGUAACGAAAAUUAGAAUAUUAUUUUACUGCUUAUGGUAUCAUAUUGCCAAUCAAUAAAGAAAAUAGAGAUAAAUAUUUCAAAAUUUUCAGCAUAGUUUACUGCAAUGUUUAAUGAUAGCAUUCUAUUUUAAUUAGGUGCAAGGUCAACAUUUUCAUCUAAUUUUCGAUGGGAUAUCACCAAACCAUUACGCCCAACUUCAAUGCCCCUAAACCAUCCACUAGUGGUAUCCUUGUUCAUAAGAACACUUAUGGCCUCCACAACAAUAUUAAACUGCAUCGCUGACAAAGAGCAUCCUAGAAGCUGUGGGUUUGGCAACCACACAAUCUCCUCAAUGGCAAUAUUUACUUCAAAUGCUUUAAUCCAGGACAAGUAUUGCAUUUUAAUCACAAGAAACUAGUUCCAAUUUAUCCCUGUUUUUCCAUAAAAUAUAUUGUAAUUCCAAAAACUACUAACCGUCUCUUUUAGCAACACCAUUGAUCAUAUUGUCUUGACUUGAUAAAAGAUUCAACGGAGUUUGGUAUCUCGCAUUGGAAUCCCCACCACUCAAAAAUACAGCUCCAUAUAAUCCAAGAAUAGUGGCACGAGAUUGAAAUAUGAACACUGCCCUAAUUCAAAGCCACGUGAACAUAAGUCAUUAUCAUUUUCAAAGUAAAUAUCUGUAGCUCUCAAAAAGCUUGUGGCUGGAAUGUAGUUUAGGAGAGCUAACCAUAAAUUUUGGAGAGGAUAACGUUUUUCCAAACACAUAAACCAUACGUUUUUUUGUCUCCAUAGUUGACUGGCUUCCCAAGACAGCUGUGGCUUUCUCUACAGAAAAUGUUGUUAUCGCAUAAAGACAUAAGCUUCAACUUCAGAGGUCAAAAAUACCUCUCAUAUUCAGAUGGAGACAGCAGAUUUUAAGAGUGAUAUCAUUUUCGUAUAACAUAAUUAAUAUAUUUUAAGAGUAGAAAAAACCCUACAAUUUAUGUAUUAACUUAUGUAUUUAUUGUUCUAGGUUGAAAAGUGAGUCUGUUCAUCUAAUUAUUCUCUAUGGACGUUAUUAUGAUAUUUAGUAGGAUGCUGUUCAGGAAUGUCGUCAAAUUUCUUUUUGAGCGAUGACUAAUUUUUUUUCUUUUUGUAAUUGAGCAGUUUUUUUUUUUUUGCCCAUACUAGAUAUUAUAUACUCCAAACAAUCUUUUGCAAAUCAGCUAGAGACUUGCUGAUGGAAUAUUGGUAACGGUAAUAAAAUUAUUUUUACAAAAAUUGUCAACUUACCUUUUCUUGAAAUUAAUAUUGGCAUAUGGGAUGUAUGACUAAUAAAAUUCCCUUAUAAAGAAAAGUCGGUAUUGAGAAUUAAAGUUUUCUUCUUGAGUGUAGCAUUUUUCAUUUGCCCAAAGUCUUUACUCGUAAAACCGUGGGGCAGGCUGAAACCCCAAAAGUCUACUGAAAACACUUUUGGGGUUGAAAACGGGACCCUUUUCUGCAGCAAACUUUACUAUUAUACGAACCCACCUAGCAAGGCUAUUACUCUAUUUAAUUUAGUGAAUUAAAGGAAGUCAACUUCAAUGCCCCUAAACCAUCCACUAGUGGUAUCCUUGUUCAUAAGAACACUUAUGGCCUCCACAACAACAUUAAACUGCAUCGCUGACAAAGAGCAUCCUAGAAGCUGUGGGUUUGACAACCACCCAAUCUCCUCAAUGGCAAUAUUUACUUCAAAUGCUUUAAUCCAGGACAAGUAUUGCAUUUUAAUCACUAAAAACUAGUUCCAAUUUAUCCUGUUUUUCCAUAAAAAAUAUUGUAAUUCCAAAAUGUUAGGAUAGUCUUGAAUUGUGAUUUAAUUAGAAUUGUUUAAUUCUAAUUAAAUUAGUAUACUUUAUUAAAUAGUCUUUAAAUCUGGUUAGACUAGAAUAAUAAUUUCUAAUUAUAUUAAGAUAAGGUUAUUAUAUUUGACACUAUAAAAGGACCCUAUGGGGUUAAAGAAUAAUAAUCACCUAGAUUUAGAGAGAGUGAUUUAGGUGUACGUAGGAUAAGGGUUGUAAGUUUGAGACUGUUCUUGUAAUCUCCUAAUUUUUCUCUUAGUGAAUUUUUUUCUGUUGUUGUGCCCGUGGACGUAGGUCAUCAAAAGACCGAACCACGUAAAUUCUUGUGUUCUUGUCGGUGUGCUUGAUUUCUUUCUUUUUUUUUUUCUAUUGAUUGGGUUAGAUCUUGGGCAAUUCUUUAGAGAAAAUUCUAUAAUUUUCCAACAAAAUGGUAUCAGAGCUUCAAGGUCUUAAGUCAAUUUGAAUCUCGCUAUGACAACUUCGUCGACCAAGUAUGAGAUUGAAAAGUUUAAUGGAAGAAACGAUUUCAGCUUGUGGCAUGUUAAAAUGCGUGCAUUACUAGUGCAACAAGGACUGUUGAAGGCACUGAAGGGAAAAGAGCAUCUUCCCUCGAAUUUAUCUGAUGGUGAGAAAGAUAACCUUAUGGAAAAAGCACAUAUUGUUAUUCUCUUAGUUUUAUCUGAUAAGGUGCUAAGAGAAGUCACGGAUGAAGAAUCUGCUGCUGCAGUGUGGCUUAAACUCGAAAGUAUUUAUAUGACCAAAUUCCUGACGAAUCGGCUUUAUAUGAAGCAACGAUUAUAUACUCUCAAGAUGAGUGAAGGUAUGUCCGUUAAUAUCACAUUUAUGAAUUGGAUAGAGUUAUUCUUGAUUUAAAUAAUAUCAAUGUUAAAAUUGAGAAUGAAGACCUAGCCUAAUUCUUUUAUGUUCUUUGCCUCUAUCGUAUGAAAACUUCGUGGAUACUAUGUUAUAUGAUCGAGACACUCUCACUUUCGAUGAUGUAAGAGCAUCUUUAAAUUCCAAAGAAUUGAAGAAGAAAGUUGGUGGUAUCCAGAAUGAAAAUCAAGCAGAAGGUUUGGUUGUGAAUAGAGGAAAAAAUAGAGAGAAGGGUAUAGACAGAAAAGGUAAAUCUAAAGCAAAAGGGAAAACUUGCUAGAAUUGUGGUCAGAAAGGACACUUUCAUCAAGACUAUACCAAAUUCAAGGAUGAUGAAAAGAUCAACAAAUCUGUGAAUACUGCAAAUGUGGUUGGAGAUGACUUUGAUACUUUUGAAGAAAUUGAUAAUAUUCUUGCAAUUACCAACGAUAACUUGAUGGAUAUAUGGAUCUUGGAUUUGGCUUGUUGCUUUCAUAUAUGUCCUAGGCGUGAUUCGUUUACAACUUAUCAAUCUGUUGAUAUGGGCACUGUAUAAUUAGGAGAUGAUUUCUCUCUCUCAAUUGUUGGGAUUGGCACAAUUCGAAUCAAGAUGUUUGAUGGUAUGGUAAGAACACUUGAGGUAAAACAUGUCCCUGACAUGAAAAAAAAUUUGAUAUCCUUGAGUUUGUUAGAUAAGAAGGGCUACAAAUAUAGUGGCCAAGAUGGUGUCUUGAAUGUAUCUAAAGGAACCUUAACUAUCAUGAAGGGCAAGUUAUCCGGUGACCUUUAUUGUCUAAUGAGAAACACGUUCAUUGAAACUGUUUCUGUGGUCUCAUCUAAUGAUCCUGAAGAUGAUGUAACACACUUAUGGCAUAUGAGAUUGGGUCAUAUGAGCAAGAGAGGGAUUAAAAAACUGAGUAAGCGUAGUUUGCUGUGUGGUCAAAAGAUUGAAAAGCUAGAUUUCUAUGAGCAACAUAUAGUGAAAUUUAGCACUAUAACUCAUCAAACCAAGAGUACAGUGAACUACAUCCAUUCAUAUUUGUGGGGUCCUUCUUCAGUGGCAUCAAAAGGUGGAUCAUUAUACAUGUGGACCUUUAUUGAUUAUUUUUCAGGAAAAGUGUGGACGUAUCUUCUGAAGGCUAUGAGUGAAGUGUUAACCACCUUUUUGCAUUGUAAGGUAUUGAUCGAGAAGCAAACUAAGAAAAGGAUCGAAAGCUUUCGAACAAACAAAAGUUUAGAAUUUUGCAAAGGUGAGUUUGGUCUAUUCUACAAGAAUGAAAAAAAUCGUUAGACAUUGCACUGUCAUUAAAACACCACAUCAAAACGGUAUCGUAGAAUGGAUGAAGAAAACACUUUUGGAGAGAGCAAAAUACGUGUUCUCUAAUAUUGGCCUAACCAAAUUAUUAACCUUUCCCAGUUUAUAAUUCAAAAAGCUUUGCUUCCAACAAUCUCUUAACCUUGAAGCACCAACCACUAAGAAGGAACUCAAAGCCACUGUCUGGAGUUGUGAUGGUUUUAAAGCCCUAUGACCUAAUGGUUUUAACUUCAACUUCAUUAAGAGUAGUUGGACUUUUAUCAAGAAAGAUCUUUUCGACUUUAUCUCUGACUUCAUGUUCACUGGUAAAUUGGAAAAAGGUUUUAACUCCUCUUUUAUCGCAUUGAUUCCCAAAGUCUAGAGUCCUUCGUCACUCAGUGAAUAUCGGCCCACCAGUCUUGUUAAUUCUCUCUACAAAAUUCUCACCAAGCUUCUCGCCAAUAGGCUUAAGGCAGUUAUAUCCUCGGUAGUCAGUGAUAGUCAAAGUGCCUUUAUUAGCAGCUAUCAAAUCACUGACGGGAUCAUGCUAGCCAAUGAAGUUAUCCAUAGUAUGCGCAAAAAUCUUCACAAUGAGGGUGUAUUGUUCUUAAACUCGACUUUGAGAAGGCUUUUGACCAUGUGGAUUGGGGGUACAUUUCUCUUGUCAUACAGGCUACAGGCUUUGGUCAUCAAUGGUGUAGCUGGUUUUAUGAGUGCAUUUCAAUGGUCUGAGUUUCCAUUCUUGUCAAUGGUUCAGCCACGCCCGAAUUUCCCAUGAAGCACGGCCUUCGACAAGGGGAUCCACUCUCUCCUUUUUUGUUUAUCAUGGUAAUGGAAACUCUUCAUCUUUUUCUAGUAAAGGCUGAAGCGUUGAACUUUAUCGGAGGCAUCACCCUCACUUCUUUCAAAAUUUUUAUCUCUCACCUAUAGUUCGCGGACGAUACCAUUCUGUUCUUGCGUCCUAAUAUUCAGGACGCAAUCAACAUUAGACGCAUUCUGCAGUGCUUUGAGCUAGCCUCUGGUCUCCGUAUUAACUUUCACAAAUCUUGUGUUUAUCUAGUGGGAAUAACGUCUUUUGUGGGUGAAGAAUUCUCUACUGUUCUCCAGUGUCGGACAGGCUCUCUGCCCUUCACGUAUCUUGGUAUUCCCCUUGGUGCUAACCCAAGAAGCAUCUCCACAUGGGAUCCUGUUGUUUCUAACUUUAAAAGGCAACUUGCAUUUUGGCAAAGAAAGUAUCUCUUUCUUGCUAGCAGGAUCACACUAAUCAACUCAGUCUUAAAUUCACUACCUCUUUAUUAUAUCUCUGUCUUUCACCCAUCUAAAGGUGUCAUACACAAGCUCAAGCAACUACGAUGCUCCUUCUUAUGGGGUGGAUCUACGGCUAAGCGCAAGAUGUCCAAAGUCAAUUGGUCCACUAUUUGUAAGCCCAAAAGAUUUGGUGGGUUAGGAAUCUCUAGCCUUUCUCAUAAGAAUCUCGCCUUUCUAGCCAAAUGGUGGUGGCGUUAUGGAACUGAUAAGGAAGCUUUAUGAAGACGUUUGAUUGUUGGUAAAUACGGGAUUGGUGACAGUCAUUGGACUACUUUUGUUUCUAACAUGUCGAGAAUGUCAUCGAUUUGGAAAAGCAUCAUCAAGCUCCCAUCCAAUGAAGGGGUUCAUAACCUGAUUGGUUUUCAUGCUUGGCACUGGAUCGUAGGGGAUGGUACCACUAUCCUCCUAUGGCUUGAUAAAUGGCUUAAGGACCUGCCCCUUUCAUCCAAGUAUCCUCGCCUUUUCUCGUUGGCUACAGAUAAGGACAUUCGAGUCGCUAAUGCCAAGUCUAAUGGGUCCUGGUCUCUUAUUUUCAGACAGGCAUUUUUUUCUUGGGCAAAGUCAAACUAUGAGGAACUUUUGCGUAAACUCUAUUCUAUUUUUCUUGUGCUGGGCAGGAAGGAGAAACUUGUAUGGAAGCAUGACUCUCAAGGGAACUUCUCCGUGAAAACUUUCUGUUCUAGGCUAAAUACCUCUAAUGAUGAUCAUAUGGUAUGGUUUCAAUCUUUAUGGAAUCUAUCUAUCCCUCCUAAACUUUAGUGCUUCCUAUGGCUUGCAGUCCUUAACGCAAUUCCUACAAAGACUUUUCUCUUCUCUCGUGGUGUUCAUUUUAAUUUUGAUCAGCUGUAGUGCAUUUGGUGCAGUCUUGAUAAAAGGACUUGCUUGCACAUCUUUCUCACAUGCAACUUCAGUUGGCUUAUCUGGGGUUUUGUUUUUCGAUGGUGGGGUGUUGAUUGGUGUGUCCCUUCCACCAUUCCCAAUUUUAUUCAAGCUUGGUCCCUUUGUUCAUUCGGUGGUGAUGUUUCUAAAAGAUGGAUGAUCGUUUGUGGCGCUACUUUAUGGUCAUUAUGGCUUGCACGUAAUGAAUCCGUCUUCAAUUCCAAGAUUUAGGAUGGUCUCCAAAUCAUUUUUCUCAUUAAGUUGCACUCUAUGUUUUGGAUUAAAGCAUGUGAAGGCAAUGAUGCCAUUGAUGAAAUUGGUUGGUGGUCUGAUCCACAAAAUUGCUCGUGUCAGAGAACCCCCUUCCACCUUCGACUUGGCAUUUCAUGGUCACCACCUCCCAUUAGCAUGUUCAAAUUUCAUGUUGACGGCUCAACCAGAGGUCAGUUAGGACCUGCUGGUUAUGGUGGGGUUUUGCACAACUCGGACGAUUUUGUACUAGGAUUGUUCUUUACUCCACUCGAUUUACGUGACUCCAAUUAUGCGGAAUUGAUGGGUAUCUUGCAUGCUUUUCACCUCGUUUCUGUCUCCACUUACUCCUAUUCCCAUUUAAUUGUUGAAUUGUAUUCAAGGGUUGCUUUAUCCUGGAUUAAUUGUGUCGAACGAAGACCUUGGGAUAAAUGCACAUCUUCAACGAAAUCGACUCACUACUGCUUUCCGUCGGUAAUGUGUCCUUCACUCAUGUCUUUAGAGAAGGCACUUCAUUCGUUGACUCCUUAGCCAGGUAUGGUACUAAUGUUUCUACUCCCUUCUCUGCUUAGUGGUGAACCCGUAAGUUGCUGUAUGACUCUUAUGCUGCAGUCUUUCUUUAUGCUCCAUUGUUAGUCUUAUUUUUAUGUUGCUUUGAGCUCCCUCUUUAUGUUGAUGUUCUCCUCUUUUUGAUGCUUCUUGUUAGUCUUUUUGUCACAACAACUUGCCAACUGUUGCUUGUAGAUGCUUGUACUUAUUGACCUUUUGGCUUGCAUUCACUGUAGUCUAAGUGAUCUUAAUGAAUAUUUAUUUUGGCUGAGCAAAAAAAAAAAUUUAAGUGUUAACCUUUUAAGUCAAAUCGAUUUGGAUUUAAAUGAAUUGUUUGAAUUCGAAUAAUUUUGAGUUGGUUAUUCGGGUUGUUUGGGUUCAAGUAGUUUUGAGUUCAGAUCAAUUUAAAUUCAAAUUAUUUUGAAUUCAAGUCCUUUUCAACUUUGCAUCUUGCAAGUUCAGAUUGUUGAUUUUAUUUUUGUCAAAAUUAAUUUUAUCGGGUUUGAGUUUGAGGUCAAGAUUAGCUAUGCCAAUUUUAGUUAAAAUUGUUUGUAGUGCAAGGAAAUAUGUAUUUUUUGGGAAAAUUUAAGGAAAGAAAUUUGAAAUAAAUACAUUGUCUCCUCUAAAGUUUAAUGCAAAUAGUGCAUUAAAUGUAAAAACACAUUCUAAAGUAAUAUUUUUAACUAUCUUAUUUUUUUUAAUGAAGAUAGUUUUAUUGGCCUCUCCAACCAGCAUGCCAUUGUAAGUCUCUAACCAAAGCGGAGAAGACUUGCUAUGGCAUAACUAUUUCAUGGUUAAUUUGGGCAAAAUAUAGCCUGUGCAGUUACAAAAUGAUCCUACGACUCAAAAAACGACAUGGGCAUAUACCCACAGAUUUAUAAAAACCGCUAUCAAUAAUCAAAGCUCAACUAAUCCAAGUACCUAACAUUUGCCUUCUAUCUUUUCAACAUAAAUUUUAAUCGAUGCCUAUUUAACAAUUCCACUGGCCCUUGUAGCGAGGGCUUUUCACCUACCCCCUUUAUAUCUUUUAGUUUACAAUUUUACAAUUUACAAAUUUAAUUAUUUAGAGAUAUUAUUAAUUUUUACAACGUAAAAGGGUUCUCAUACCCCGAGGAAUAGUUUAGUAAGAGCAAUUUUGUUUUUCCUAAAAAAAAUUGUAGGAGAAGAAGAAGUUUGGUAACAACGACUUCCUGCCUCUUACCAACCUUGUUGCUGCCGUGAUUAGGACCAAGAAGUCUUGUUGUAUACAUAGGAACAAGCCAUUACCAUUUCCUUCAUAUCCUUUCCACUCUAACUGCAAUAUAUUGGUGAUCAAUUCCUGAAUCUAACUAAUUAUUUCCAUUCUCCACGAUAUGGAUCCGAGGUUGAGGGAGGCUGCUCAAACAGGAGAUUUUAACUACUUCUACUCACUAAUCGAGGAAAACGCAAGCGUUUUGGAGGACAUUGAUACAGAGUCUUUUGCUGAGACUCCAUUACAUGUAGCGGCUUCUGCAGGGCAAAUUGCUUUCGCCGUAGAGAUGAUGAAUUUAAAGCCGUCGUUUGCGAGGACGCUGAACCAAGCUGGGCUUAGCCCCAUGCACGUAGCUUUACAAAACGAAAAAACCCUUUUUGUACAUCGACUCCUAGAGAUGGAUAAAGAUCUCGUUCGCGUCAAAGGCAGGGAGGGUAAGACUCCUUUUCAUUACGCUGCUGAACUAGGAGAGGAAAAACUUUUGAACGAGUUUCUUGAAGCUUGCCCUGAAUGCAUUCAAGAUGUAACUGUUCAUCGUGAAACUGCUCUGCACAUCUCAUUAAAACAUAACAAGCUUAACGAGUUUAAAUCCUUGGUGCGAUGGAUUCGAGAGAGCUGUCAUAAGGAUGCCAAAGUCUGGGAAGAACGAAUCCUCAACUGGAAGGACGAACAAGGCAACACUGUUCUGCACAUUGCAGCCAUGGAAAACCAACCAGAGGUUUGCUUUUACAUUUAUCAGACUCCCAAUUGACUCGUAAUCAAAAAAAAAAACUAACUAGUUAUUAGUACAUCUUCUAUGAUUUGCACAGGCCGUAGGACUGCUGGUAAAGUAUCGUGACGUGGUUGAUGUGAACGCCAAGAAUUCGGAAGAUUUGACAGCACUGGAAUAUAUCUCAAAAUGCGAUGAAAACGAUGAAAGCACUGAAAACCAAGAGCCAGUGCAAGAUAGAUCAGAGAUUACUACAAUGUUGCAAGCUGCUACACGUCGAAUGCAUCCCUUCAUGGCAAUGCUCUAUUUCGACAAGGAGUUAAUGUUUUCUUAUCUUAAAAGGAUAAUCACACAUAUUUCUCGGAGAAGGAAGAACAUUUCAAAUGACAUGCGCAACGCAUUGCUGGUAGUCAUUACGCUGAUUAUAACAGCCACUUACCAAUCCUCUUUAAGUCCACCUGGUGGUGUUUGGCAGGGAGAUAACAGCAAUAGUUCAUCUAAAUCAAACGAUGCUAGCAUAAAUACCAGUAAUAGUAGCACCCUUGGCGGAAAGCUGCACGAUCCGGGGACAACCGUUAUGCCAAAAAGUACUUUUUCUGUGUUCUGGACUUACAACACAUUAACCCUAUUGACAACCCUUGGGCUAACAGCAUUUCUCCUCCCAGGUGGUUCUAUUGCUAUACUACUGCUCGUGCCACUUUCACUUUUGUGCUCGAGCUACAUGCUCUCCAUGAGCAUCUUAUCCCCGACUCCGUUUUGGUCAAAAGUGAAUACAAUUCUGUCAAUAGUCUUUAUUAUGUUGCUGUUAUUACCGUAUCCUAGAUUGUUCAACGAGAGACUGCGAGCCCAAAUGAAGAGUGAAUUAUCUCCACGUGCGGUGCUAAAGUCGAAGAAAUUUUAUAUCAAAAUAUUCUUUUGUUUGGUUGCUGCAAUGUGCUUUACUGUAAUCAUGCUGCAAAAUUGGUUACAUUAGAAGUAUUUAGGACCCCAACCCUUUCUGAAGUCUAAUCUUAGCGUUGUGUUGUUUCUUAUCUAUUUAAUAAAAGAAGUUGGUAUUGUAAUUCUUGACUCUUCUAAGUACUAUAAAUGCAAGUGUCUCUGCCUUUCUGAUGUUUGUUGUUUUUUGAUGCGUUUUCUCCUGCCGUUUUUUGGUUAGGGCAGGCUUCCUCUUCCGUUUUAAAUGUUUGCUGCUGUGAUAACUGCCACUUCUUUUUUGUGCAGUUAAACCUUUUAUGUAUCAUGAUUUGUUAUCUCGAUUUUCAUGUCAAUGGGAAUCUUAGGUAAUUUCAACUUGAAAUUAAUAUUGGCAUAUGGGAUGUAUGACUAAUAAAAUUCCCUUAAAAAGAAAAGUUGGUUUUGAGAAUUAAAGUUUUCUUCUUGAGUGUAGCAUUUUUUAUUUGCCCAAAGUCUUUACUCGUAAAACCGUGGGGCAGGCUGAAACCCCAAAAGUCCACUGAAAACAUUUUUGGGGUUGAAAAUGGGACCCUUUUCUCCAGCAAACUUUACUAUUAUACCAACCCACCUAGCAAGGCUAUUACUCUAUUUAAUUUAGUGUAUUAAUUGAGUACAAAUUUGUACUCUUUCAUGUAUUGACAAAACCUUAAGUAACGAAAAUUAGAAUAUUAUUUUACUGCUUAUGGUAUCAUAUUGCCAAUCAAUAAAGAAAAUAGAGAUAAAUAUUUCAAAAUUUUCAGCAUAGUUUACUGCAAUGUUUAAUGAUAGCAUUCUAUUUUAAUUAGGUGCAAGGUCAACAUUUUCAUCUAAUUUUCGAUGGGAUAUCACCAAACCAUUACGCCCAACUUCAAUGCCCCUAAACCAUCCACUAGUGGUAUCCUUGUUCAUAAGAACACUUAUGGCCUCCACCACAAUAUUAAACUGCAUCGCUGACAAAGAGCAUCCUAGAAGCUGUGGGUUUGGCAACCACACAAUCUCCUCAAUGGCAAUAUUUACUUCAAAUGCUUUAAUCCAGGACAAGUAUUGCAUUUUAAUCACAAGAAACUAGUUCCAAUUUAUCCCUGUUUUUCCAUAAAAUAUAUUGUAAUUCCAAAAACUACUAACCGUCUCUUUUAGCAGCACCAUUGAUCAUAUUGUCUUGACUUGAUAAAAGAUUCAACGGAGUUUGGUAUCUCGCAUUGGAAUCCCCACCACUCAAAAAUACAGCUCCAUAUAAUCCAAGAAUAGUGGCACGAGAUUGAAAUAUGAACACGGCCCUAAUUCAAAGCCACAUGAACAUAAGUCAUUAUCAUUUUCAAAGUAAAUAUCUGUAGCUCUCAAAAAGCUUGUGGCUGGAAUGUAGUUUAGGAGAGCUAACCAUAAAUUUUGGAGAGGAUAACGUUUUUCCAAACACAUAAACCAUACGUUUUUUUGUCUCCAUAGUUGACUGGCUUCCCAAGACAGCUGUGGCUUUCUCUACAGAAAAUGUUGUUAUCGCAUAAAGACAUAAGCUUCAACUUCAGAGGUCGAAAAAACCUCUCAUAUUCAGAUGGAUACAGCAGAAUUUAAGAGUGAUAUCAUUUUCGUAUAACAUAAUUAAUAUAUUAUAAGAGUAGAAAAACCCUAUAAUUUAUGUAUUAACUUAUGUAUUUAUUGUUCUAGGUUGAAAAGUGAGUAUGUUCAUCUAAUUAUUCUCUAUGGACGUUGUUAUGAUAUUUAGUAGGAUGCUGUUCAGGAAUAUCGUCAAAUUUCUUUUUGAGCGAUGACUAAUUUUUUUUCUUUUUGUAAAUGAGCAGGUUUUUUUUUUUUUUUUGCCCAGACUAGAUAUUAUAUACUCCAAACAAUCUUUUGCAAAUCAGCUAGAGACUUGCUGAUGGAAUAUUGGUAACGGUAAUAAAAUUAUUUUUACAAUAAUUGUCAACUCAACCAAACAUAAAUAGGAAUACAGAAAAAGUAACUUGGUGGUGCAUGUAGGGAUUUAACAGUUAUGACUUGCAAAAAAAAAAAAAGAAUAACUUUGAUUAACUUCGAUCAGAGUGGAUUAGAUCUGACAAUUCGUGUUUUUGUAUUUUAAUUAUGUUGUGUUAAUAUAGGGUAUUAAUGAUUGUAUCAGUAAAUACAAACACGAUAUGAAUAAUUAUUCAUAUCAGCAUCUGAAACACAUACAUGAUACGUUUAAAAACCAGGUAACGCAACACAACACGACUAACAUAUUUGUUAAAUAUGUUAAGAUUUUUAUACGACAUAAUAUGAUUAAUAAACACGAUUAAACGAUUAACAUAUAUAAAAUUCAUCAUACUCAGGGGCAGACCUACCUUGUAACUAACAAUGUCAUCAUUCCAAAAAUUACUACUUAGUUAUAUUAGUUAAGCUAGAAUUUUAUAUAAUUAAUGAUACUAAUGAACCUACUAAUUUUUUUGCAUUUUAAUAAGAGAAGGUCAAAAACUCCAAGUCAAAGUAAAUUUAUCAAAAAGUAAUUUAUAUACUAAUAUUUAAAUACUAAAAGAUAAAAAUAAUUUCUUUCCAUAAUUUAAGAUUUUAUUAAAAAAAUUAAAACCUAAACUACUAUCCCUCGUCCUCUCCCUCUCCAAAAAUUCAAAUCCUAGUUUUGAGACCUGUAGUGAUGCUUCCUCUUCUCGAUCCUUAACUGCGUUUUUCAUUUUUUGAAAAUAACUCAUCUAGACUUCAAUUGUAAGUAAUUUUUAAUUCAAAUUAAGUUUUUAAAUGCUUCAUGUCUAAAUAUUUUUUGAUUAAUUUGAUAAUUUGGGACUCAAACAGAAUUUAAUUAAUAGAAAAUAGUAUUGUAUGUCAAAUAAUAUCUUGAAAUUAUGAUUCUUUGUUUUUUUAUUUAUUUUGUAGAUAUAUUGUUUGAUUAUUUGAUUUUUUGUAUUUAAUUUUAUAUGGUUUAUUGAUGCUUAUACUUAGUUUUGAUCAAUGAAUAAAAAUUUGUCAAAUUGUUAAUUGUUGAACCUGAUAAUUUGCUAUACAAGAUCAUAUUUUAUUUAAUUCUAAUGUUUUAGUUUAUGUUAAUGAGAAAUGAGUAGUAACUUUUAACAGGUUUUUGGAUAAAUAAGUCAUAAAAAGAUAAUUUAAAAUACAAAAAAUUAUCUCACAAGACUAAGGUCAUGGGCAACAAUAAUAUAAUUCUAUUAAUGAUGAUACUCAACAAUCUUCUAAGCAAAAUCGUGUUGAAUUUAAUCUAAGUAUUGUCCUGGUAGAUCUUGGAAUGAGGAAACAAAAUUUUAAUUAUUAUUAUUAUUUUAGCUAAGACACUACUUAGCAAAAUUUCUAUGUCCACCCUUGAUCAUACUAAUAACAUCUAAAAUCAUUCAUAAUUUUCAACCAUAAUUAAAUACAUAUCAUUAACUACAUCACAAAUCAUGAACAAUUCCAAACACCCAAACCAAAAUCGAAAACUCACUCGCCAAUGUCGCAUCAUUCCGGUGUCAAAACCUUUUAAAAUAAUUGUUAAAAAUUAUUUAAAUAAGGCUAAAAUAGUAUUUGACUACUAAUUUUAAUGGGUUGACAUACGUGUCACUUAUACUCGUUUAAACAUAAUAACAUGAUUAACAUGAUUAAUUAAACGUGUUAACCGUAUCAACACAAUUAAGACAUAAAACAUUAUAAGGCUAAAUCCAAACUUGUUUAACGCCAUGUCUUCUAGUGUUGUGCCCAAAAUUGCAAAAUCUAGCAUGGAUCCAAGGUUGAGGGAGGUAGCUCAAACCGGAAAUAUAUAUGUUAAUUUCUUAAGAUUAAAAAUUUUAAUAAUAACUAUGUUAUAAAGAAAUAAUAACAAAAUAUUAAUAGUUUGGAUAUUGACCUCUUACAAAGAAAUUAAAAUCAUAAUUUUUUUAAAAAAAUAACAGCAUUUAAGUACCUAAAUUUUAACUAACAUUAUAUUAUCAAAUUUUUAAUUGGAAAAAUGAGAGAUUUGAAUUUAACUCUUUACAUAAGGGAUACAUACACUUUCCAUUAAAUGUUCAUAUGUUAUAUCAAUUUCUAAUUAUAAAAAAAUUAUGUUUUUUUAAUUUUCUUGAAAAUUAAAUAAAAAUAAAGAAAAUAAGAUGAAAAGAGUAUUAGUUUAAUUGGAUUAAAUCUAUGCAAUUAACAAUAAUCAUGAAAAUCAUGUGUUAUUAUAUUUCACAGUAUAUACUUUAUUUGAAAUCCAAAUCCUCUCGUUUAAGUAUUUAACUUUCCAAAUAUAACCUUAGAGAACAUUGUUAGAAAUUUGCAAGCUAGCAAAAUAAAUAUAUUUGUAAUUUAUUAAAUGAAAACAUAAUACUACUAAAAUAUAAUCAAAAUAACAUAAGCUUAAAAACCUAUCCAUGAUGUCAUGUCUAUCAUCAUCAUCGGUGGUCAUUCUAUUGCUUCAUUAACUCCAUUGAUUCUGCCAACGGUACGUAAGUUAGUCAAUGUGGAAUUUUCUUUUUUCAAAUUUUCACUCACAUCUUUUCUUCUAUUCUUUUAACUUCUUUGUUAAUGUUAUUAAUUUCAUGAUAAUGAUUGUCUCUUUUCCUAAUGUUAAAUGGAGCAAACUUAUAUAAUUUAGUUAUAUAAGUGUAAGACAAAGUUAGAUAUUGACUUCAUUAUAUCCAUAAUGUUAUUGCCAUUAUUUCUCUUUACACACCAAGUGGUGGGAGCGAAAUAAAUCUAAAAAAUAAUGUUUAUUAAAACGUUCAUUUUUAAAUCAAUUUUAUCGAUUCUUUGAAUUUCAUCUAAAUUCCAUUUUCACACCAACAGUUUGGUAUCUCCCAUUAGAAUCCCCACCACUCAAAAAUGUGUUCCGUAUAAUCUAAGAAUAGUGACAUAAGAUUAAAAUAGGAACACAGUCCUCAUUCAAAUCACACCAUGAACAUAAGUCAUUAUCAUUUUCAAAGUAAAUAUCUGUAGCUCUCAAGAAGCUUGUGGCUGCAAUGCAAUUUAGGAGAGCUAACCAUUAAAGAAAUUGAAUUUUUGAGAGGAUAACACAUUUCCAAAUAGAUAAAUCAUACUUUUUUGUCUUCAUAGUUGACUGACUUCCCAACCACUCAUGAAUUUAAUGUUGAUGUUGAAGAAAGUGCUAAGCAGAUCUAGAAGCUCCAUGAAGAAAUUCGAGAGAAGAUUAUUCCUUAAACUGUUGGAUACCAAAAGCAAGUCAACAAACACAAAAAGUUAGCUAAUUUUAAAGAAGGAGAUUUUGUGUGAAUUCACUUAAGGAAAGAAUGUUUUCCUAAGUGUCGUGCCAAAUUAUCUCCUCAAGUUGAUGGACCAUUUUAAGUCUUAGAACAUAUUAAUAAGAAUGCUUACAAGAUUUGAGCUUCUUGGAGAUUAUAAAAUUUCUUCUACCUUCGAUAUAGUUGAUAUCUCUCCUUACUAUGAAAGACAUGAAGAAGACAUAGAUUUUGAAAGCGAUUCUUCUCCAAUUUAGGGAGAAUGAUAAAAGAGUAUGUUAUUAUUAUAUUAUUAUCCAGGUCCAACAUAAGAAUUAUAGGAUAAAUUAAGAGUUUUAGUUUAUUUAAGAAUUAUAGGAUAAAAUAAUAAUCCCACAUAAGAAAAUAAGAAAAUUCUCUUUCUUAGGAAUAGUUAUAUAAAGCCUUAAUUGUUACGCAUAUUCAAGUUGAGAUUAGAUAAAAAAAAUAUUUUCUUGAAUAAGUAGUGAUUAUUUUCUCUAUAUAGAUUAAGAGGUUCUAAUAUCUUUAGUUUGGCUUAAGAGUUUAGCUAUUUUUUACUUUAAUGGGGUUUUUAAAAGUGAAAAUUUGUCUAUUUUUUUACCUUAAUGGGGUUUUCAAUGUUCAUUGUUGUUCACUUAAUGAAUGACAACUAAUUUGAUGUCAACUGUUGCAUUGCAGGGUCAAAGCUAGUCAAUUUUUAUUAAGGGGACCCAAAACGAAAAGAAAUAAAAAGCUCAAAAUUUUUAAAACUAAUAUGUUAAACUUUAGCAACAAUCAAAAUAUUCAUAAUAGACAAUAAUUUUAUAUAACAUGUAAAUCUAAAGAAUUAAAAAAAAGACUUAUCAUAGUCCUCUAGCUAAGUUUUGUUUGACGAUGGCAAUUUCUUUCUCAAUAUAAACAACUAAAUUAUCUACAAAAAACUCAUCAUCCAUUUUAUUCCGGAGUCUUGUCUUUCUCAAUAUAAAUAAUUAAAAAAUUAAUGCAGUGAACAUCCAAUAUUCUUAUUUUAUUACUAUUUAAACUUAAAUUACUAAAUAUGAAACUAUAUUGUAUUAAAUAUAAAUAGUUAAAUAUGAUAUACAAGAUUAAUAAUUUCCUCUUAUAUAAUCAGGAUUGUUUAAAAACUAAAUACUUAAGAUAAUUUCCUUUCAACUAAAAAUAAAAUGUAAAGCACAUUAAAAAGAUAUAUUAUCAAGAUAAUUUCUUCUUUUAUAAUUAAAAUUAAUAAAAAAAUUACAUAUUAGUGAAAUUUUAAGCAACAACCAAUAAUGCAAUGCUAGAACUUAUAUAUGAGAAUCACAUAAUAAUUUUUUAAUUUUUAAAGACUAAAAUCAUUGAAAAUAAUAUCUACAUAACAGAAAAAAAGAAUGUUGAGUUUUAGGUUGACUAGAAUUCUAGAUCUUAUUUGAUUAGGAUUUUUUGUUUGUAUACAAUAUUAAGUAGUUGUAUGAUUUUAAACUUUUUAUUCCACAUCGAAUCCUAAUCACAUUCUACUUUGGACUUUUAUACUAUAAAAGUGAAUUUCUAGGCUUUAGAAUUAAAAGUAGUGCUUUGAGAGCUCUAGAGAGGGAACAUCUUGUAACUCUAUCUUUUACUCUAGGUAGAGCUAGAGUGGUUUGAGUGAAUGUUCUUGGGAGGUUAUUGAGGAAGAGUGUGCAAGGGAUCUUGGGUUGUUUUGGGAAACCAUAAAGGUCAAUUUAUUGUACUUUAAAUUCUCAAUAAUAGAAGAACAGUUUUACUCCGUGGACGUAGACAAUAGGCCGAACCACGUAAAUUCUUGUGUUUUUCUGUUUGCUUAUUUUCUCUGGAUUUUAUCUUUAUUGAUUCUUGGGCAAUUUCCACAACAAACUGGUAUCAAAGCUUCGGGUUCGGUAAAUUCAAGAUUCAACAAGGAUGUCGAAAGUUACUAGUUCUACGAAUUUUUCAAUUGAGAAGUUUGAUGGGAAGACUAGUUUCACGCAGUGGCAGAGAAGGAUGAAAGAUCUCCUUGUGCAGCAAGGUUUAAUGCGCCCCUUAUUAGGAAAGGAGGAAGGGCAACCAAAUAACAUGAAGGAUGUUGAAUGGGUAGAGUUAGAGCAAAGGUGUGUGAGCACUAUUCGGCUUUGCAUUGGAGAUAAUGUGUUUAAUCAUGUUAUUGAUGAGGAUUCUGCUCUAAGAUUAUGGGCAAAGUUAGAGAAAAUUUACUUGGCGAAAAGUCUUUCUAACAAGUUGCAGCUUAGGCGAAAGUUGUAUUACUUAAAGAUGGAGGAGAAUGGAGACCUCAUGAAGCAUAUGAAUGAAUUCGAUGGAAUCAUUGNNNNNNNNNNNNNNNNNNNNNNNNNNNNNNNNNNNNNNNNNNNNNNNNNNNNNNNNNNNNNNNNNNNNNNNNNNNNNNNNNNNNNNNNNNNNNNNNNNNNNNNNNNNNNNNNNNNNNNNNNNNNNNNNNNNNNNNNNNNNNNNNNNNNNNNNNNNNNNNNNNNNNNNNNNNNNNNNNNNNNNNNNNNNNNNNNNNNNNNNNNNNNNNNNNNNNNNNNNNNNNNNNNNNNNNNNNNNNNNNNNNNNNNNNNNNNNNNNNNNNNNNNNNNNNNNNNNNNNNNNNNNNNNNNNNNNNNNNNNNNNNNNNNNNNNNNNNNNNNNNNNNNNNNNNNNNNNNNNNNNNNNNNNNNNNNNNNNNNNNNNNNNNNNNNNNNNNNNNNNNNNNNNNNNNNNNNNNNNNNNNNNNNNNNNNNNNNNNNNNNNAGAUUGUUUUGAUUUACUUUAAGAAGGGGUGGCUAGGAAUUUGACUUUGGGUAAUAAGUUAAUAGUGAAGGUCAUGGGUCUUGAAGUGGUGAAAAUCAAAAUGUUUGAUAGGGUUGUGCGCUCUUUGGGUGGGAUGGCUUAUGUACCAGAGAUGCAUAAGAAUCUAAUAUCACUAAGCCUAUUAUACUCCAAAGGAUAUGGAUAUUCUGCUUAUGACAGAGUGGUAAAUGUCACACAAGGUGACAUGGUCUUGAUAAGGAAGAAUUUGUAUAAUGGCUUAUAUCAUCUAAAAUGUGAGGCCUCGAAGGGAUAGGAACAGUGCACAGGGGAUAGUAGCUACCAAAGUGAGAUUUCAUUUGCCGAGGAGGUGAUGAAAGGUUCCCAUGGUGUAGACGAUGGUGAAAGGAUGAAAACUCUUGCCAGUAGUGAAUUGGAAGGGUCGUCGAGGUCCCUUUUCCGAAGUCAAUUAGUGCCAUUGACUUGACAGCUACACAGGUGCAUUGGCCGUUUUGUGGAAUCGAGUGUUGGACCAUGUUUGAUUCGGUAUGUGUAGUCGUGGUAAUUAUAAAGGCCAAUGAUUUAGAAAGUCUUAUGUUUGGAGAGUUGUUCAAGGUGUUGGAAAGUAGGUGGAGUUAGGAAGUUGCAAUUAAGUGCGACUGGUGGAAGAGGUUUAAGGAGUUUGAAUUCAAGUCAAAGGUGGAGGUUUGUUGAGUUUUAGGUUGAUUAGAAUUCUAAAUCUUAUUUGAUUAUGAUUUUUGUUUGUGUACAACAUUGAGUAGUUGUAUGAUUUUAAACUUUUUAUUCCACAUCGAAUCCUAAUCACAUUCUACUUUGGACUUUUAUACUAUAAAAGUGGAUUUCUAGGCUUUAGAAUUAAAAGUAGUGCUUUGAGAGCUCUAGAGAGGGAACAUCUUGUAACUCUAUCUUUUGCUCUAGGUGGAACUAGAGUGGUUUGAGUGAAUGUUCUUGGGAGGUUAUUGAGGAAGAGUGUGCAAGGGAUCUUUGGUUGUUUUGGGGAACCAUAAAGGUCAAUUUAUUGUACUUUAAAUUCUCAAUAAUAGAAGAACAGUUUCACUCCGUGGACGUAGGCAAGAGGCCGAACCACGUAAAUUCUUGUGUUUUUCUGUUUGCUUAUUUUCUCUGGAUUUUAUCUUUGUUGAUUCUUGGGCAAUUUCCACAACAAAGAAGAACAUAACAAGUAGUAACAAAAAUGAAAAAAAGAAGAAUAUAAUUUAUGGUUCGUUGAAAAUUGAAAAAGAAAAUCAAUAGAAACUUAGAAUAUAUGAACAAAUAGAAUAGAAUUGAAAAAUAUAAAUAAAAAAAUAAAAAAAAAUUUACCUCAUUGUAAUUUUAUAAUGAAAGGACAAAAAAAGAGAGAGAGGGAAAAGGGCGUGGAGAAAUUUAAAGAGUAAAUUUGAAUAAGGAUGGUAGGAUCAUUUUAUUGUCUUUUAUUUUUCUUAAUUAUUUAAUAAAAAAUUAUUUUAAAGAAGUCAUUAAAAAAAUAUAUAAUAUAUAAAAAUUUUUAAAAUUUUUGGACCAUAAGAUAGGGACGCUGAACUUUAUAACAUGAACACAGUCGUCACUCAAAAGCUUGUGGCUGGAAUGCAGUUUAGGAGAGGAUAACAUUUUCCAAAUGGAUAAACCUUACUUUUUUUUGUCUCCAUAGUUGUUUUCGCAUAAAGACAUGAGCUUCAACUUCAAAGGUCGAAAAACCUCUCAUAUUCAGAUGGAGAAAGCACAAUUUAAGAGUCAUUAUUUUCAUAUAGCAUAUCUUGUAUGUUAUAAUUGAUGUAGUAAUUGACAGCUCAACCAAACGUAAAUAGGAACAUGAAAAAAGUAGCUUGACGGUUGCAUGCAGGGAUUUAACAGGUAUGACUUGCCCCAAAAAAGAAUCACUUCGAUCAGCGUGGACCCAAGGUUGAGGGAGGCAGCUCGAAACCGGAAAUACAUGUUAAUUUCGAAAGAUUAAACAUUUUAAUAAUAACUUUGUUAUAAAUAAAUAUUAAAAGUUUGGAUAUUGACUUGAUCUUACAAAGAAAUUAAAAUCAUAAUUUUUUUUUAAAAAAAGAAUAAACAACAUUUAAUCACCAAAAUUAUAUUAAAAUAUUAACUAACAUUAUAUUAUCAUUUUUUCAAUUGAGAAAAUGAGGGAUUUGAAUUUCAUUCUUUAAAUAAGGGAUAUAUACACCUUCCAUUAAAUGCUUGGAUGUUACAUCAAUUUUUGAAUAUAAUAAUAUUUUUUUAAUUUAAUAUAAAAUAUGCUAAAAUAAAAGAUUUUUUAAAAUUUUCUUGAAAACUAAAUAAAAAUAAAGAAAAUAAGAUGAAAAGAGUAUUAGUUUAAUUGGAUUAAAUCUAUGCAAUUAAAAAUAACCAUGAAAAUCAUGUGUUAUCUAUUACACAAUGUAUAUAUAUAUAUACUUUGUUUGAAAUCCAAAUCCUCUCUUUCAAGUAUUUAAAUUUCCAAAUGUAACUUAAAAGAACGUAGUUAGAAAUUUGGCAAGCAAAAUAAAUAUAUGUUGUAAUUUAUUAAAUAAAUACAUAAUUAUACUACUAUAUAUAAGCAAAAUAACAUAAGCUCAAAAACUUAUCCAUGAUGUCAUGUCCUUCAUCAUCGUCAAUGGUCAUUCUCUUGCUUCAUUAACUCCAUUGAAUCUGCCAACGGUACCUAAGUUAGUCAAUGUGGCAUUUUCUUUUUCCAAAUUUUCACUUGCAUCUUUUCUUCUAUUCUAUCAACGUCUUUGUUAAUGUUAUUAAUUUCAUGGUAAUGUUUGUCUCUUUUCCUUAUGUUAAAUGAAGCAGACUUAUAUAUCAAUCAUAAUUUAGUUAUAUUUUCAAGUAAAAUUAAUCACAAAUAAUUUCAAAUCACAAAAAAAAUAUGUGAUUCAACUGCCAUUUAAUUAAUUUUAAUUUGGUGGAUACCUACUUCUUUCUCAACCACAGAAAAUAUGUACUGCUACAAGUGGACUCAACCCUUCCAAUUAUUUUCCUGUAAUUAUUAUUAAAUCUUAUCGAUGGAUGAAAGGUUGAGAAGUGCAACACAAUCAGAAAAUAUAGAUGUGAUUAUUAGAUUAUAAAUUUUUUUUCUUAUUCAUAAAGUAAUAUGAUAGAAAACACCUCUAAUUCAAAAGAUCCCUUGAAGAUGGGAGACUCCGGGAGGGAAGAAUCUUUCAUCCUUAUCAGUUUGAGUUUUGCCCAGGGCAUUCAAUGGAACUUUUGAAUAUUUUACAGCCACAAGUGCUAUCCAGCCUCCAAUAUAAAUUUUAAAACCAGAAUAAAGUAAAGAGAGAGAGAGUUGUCAUCUUAGAAGAUUUUUUUAUGUACGAGUACUUUUUUCCCACGAAAACUCCUUUAUUCUGCCUUUUCUGUUUUUUAAUCUUUCCUGAUUCACUGAAAUUGACUACACAGCACAAAGGUUUUUCCUUGUGAGUUCGUCAAUUGCUGUGCACCAUCUCUUUACUCUUUCAAUUGCUGUUUUAGCUACAUUCUAGUAAGACUAAGCCCUUACUACCUAUCAAUUUAUCAUUGUUCUAAGCCUUCUCAUCGCACUUUGUUUACCGGAAGGAUGGGAGGUGCUCAACUAUUUAUUUUUAAGUGAAUUUCUUCCAUGCUCUCUUAGUUACUCUUUUCUAUUUUCCGCUUGUCAUUGUCAUUUCGCGCUCUUGACAUGUAUGAAAGUUUGAGUAGAGCUGCUCACGAAGGAAAUAUUGUUGAAUUGUAUGCAUCAAUCCGAAGAGAUGGAGAUGUUUUAAGGAAAAUUGAUGAGAUGCAGUUCAUUGACACUCCAUUACACAUAGCUGCAGCUGAAGGGUGCAUUGAUUUUGCAAUGGAGAUAAUGAUCUUAAUGCCGUCAUUCGCUAGGAAGCUAAACCAAGAAGGCUUUAGUCCCAUUCACGUCGCAGUGGAAAAGGGGCAUAAAGAGCUGGCGCUACAUCUCAUAGAAAAUGAUAAAAAUCUUGUUCGUGUCAAAGGGAAGCAGGGUGAGACUCCUUUGCACUAUGCAAUACCUAGAGAACAAAAUUUUGAUCUCUUGGCCAGAUUUCUUGAGGCUUGUCCUGAAAGCAUCCGGGAUAUGACAACUACAAACCAAACUGCUUUGCAUAUUGCAACGAGACACGAUAGAUUGGAGGCUCUUGACCUCCUAUGCCAGAUGCUUAGGAGGAGUGACUAUUGUGAGGAUGUGGUGAACCAGAAAGACAGGAAUGGUGACACUGUCUUGCACAUAGCUGUGCGCAAUAAUCAACCCAAGGUCCGAUCUCUUCUCCUCUAACUAAUUUUACUUUUACGAAAAAAAAAGAAUGCAUUCUUUAAUUUGGGAUUGUAUUUCUAGGUCAAUUGAUUUUGGCUUUUAUUUAUGUCUUAAACUCUCAAUAAAACAGAUGCUCAGAGUGUUAUUAAAAUGCAAGGCUGAUACGCUUGCUACCAAUCCUGCUGGUUUGACGGCACUGGACGUUGCGCACGAACUUAAUAACAGAGAGAGCAUUAAUAUUCUACGUGGUUGGUCAAAUGCAGGAGGUUUAAACUUUCAAUAUAAAAUGCGAAAGCAAAUUUUCAAGCUUGUGACAAAGGCAUCAGAAGUAAUUUUUCAGGGUAUGGACAAUGUAUCAAGCGAGGAUCGGAAUGCCUUACUAGUAGUUUUAGGAUUGCUUCUAACAGCUACCUACCAAGCCAGUAUUAGCCCGCCAGGUAGUGUUUGGCAGGGUGGUGUUUGCUCAAACUCCAAUUCCACAGUACAUGAAAAAAUUCCGGGCACAUGGAUCCCAUGGGAUGUUAAUUUCCUUCUUUUCUAUAUUCCAUCCUAUACUGUCUUCAUAGUAGCGUUCUUCCUAACAUUGGGCCUCCUUAAACCUUUUCCCCAUGGUUUCAGGACUGCCCUUCAAGUACUACUUGCAUUUCUUGCUAUAUCUUUCGACGAAGCAGUAUGUUUAAUAGUACCAACGUCAUUAGCAUUUCGAGUUAUGAGUAUGUUUUCAGUGGUGCUUUUUAUUUUAAUGAUGU